CAGCGUGUGUGGUCUCGAGGCGGUACAGCUGAUUUGAUUGCAGGUGAUUCUUCCCUCUCACCUGGCCUCCUCAUAUUAUUUCUGUAGGUCGCAUGUGUGUUUCGAAUCCAUAAAUACUGCAGUUUCUGUAGGUCGUAUGUAUGUUCAUACGAGCUGCCGUUCUUCCAUAUGUUCUGCAGAUGUAGUAUGUGUUUUAGGUCCAUGUAUAGUACUGUAGGAUCAUAUGUGCUGCAGAUGUAGCCUCUGUUUUUAGGUCCAUGUGUAGUACUUUUAGUCCAUAUGAACGAUGGCCAUACGAGUAGCCACAAGGUCAUCCACGAGGUUAUCAAAUGCUGCCUCGAGCGCCUUGAGAUAUUCAACCAGCAUUUCAAUAGCCUCAUCCCUUUCUCCUCUAGGGCAAGCGAAUGCAUAGUGACAUGUGUAUGGCAUGUGGCAGGGGAGGUAGCGGUAGCGACGAGUCUUCAUUGAAGAAAGAACAUCCCGAAGACGAGCUAUCGCCUCACGGGCAGCCAUGUGCAUAGCAUGCCUCUCCGUAGGCAUGGCUCUUCCCACAAACCGGAAGCGGCGUAACUUAACACGCCCUCCCUUGAAUUGCACCGCGGCCUGGUGCAUGGACAGACUGUCGUUGAUCUUGUGCUGGUAGAGUGUGAACUCCGGACGAGUUGAUGGCCCGAUCGCGAUUUUGACGAUGGAGGUGAGAAGCUUGACGAACCCCUCAGGCACGUUGGCGAACACCUGUGACUCACAGUCAUUGCCAGCCAUCUACAAAAGUAGGCAAAAAUUCUGAAUAGUCAGAUCAUAAAUUUACACUGACUGUCAGAAAAUGACUACAUUUGCAAAAUAUUAAAAUAGCACUUAUUACGCUAAUAACCGAUUAGCGAUCGCACCUAGUGGCUUCCUACAGUCAGCCUGGCUCUGGUACCAAGUUUGUCACGAUAGUUUUUUCAAUAAAAAGCUUAUUGAGAAACCGACUUUUAUAUAGACCAGUAUAGGAAAAUCCUCCUUACUGGUAAACAAAUCCUUGAUACUGAAAUCCAGUAGUACUAAAUAUUAUACAGGGUUGAGCUGAGGUAGCUCAACAAUUUAUUACAAGCACGCAAAUAUUAUACAUAAGGGCGGAUAUGACACAAGGGUGUGCUGGCAUACUACUGACUCGUAAUAAAAGUGGUGGUGGAUAUGUCACAGUGAAGCGGAUGACAUGACUCCUAAUCCUGCAACUCAUCGAGCGUCGAGGUGAGGCUCGAUGAUUUUAUUUGGGUAGCGGAAGCGUAUGUGAUACAAGUGACCAAAUCCAGGAUCACAUGGGACUGACUAGGACUCCUCUAGGCGUCGGACUCGCUAUCGUACUCUUCAUCCAUGAGAUCGCCUUCGUCAACAUCUGGCCAAAUCAACAAGCCAGGUGAGUACUUUGAAUGUACUCGCAAGACAAUGCGGACAUAAGAUAUAACAAAUGUAACAUGAUGCACAGGAGCGGUUAGCAAUGCACACUCAAAUAUAAAAUUUGCACGACAUGUUAAAUAAAUAGGAAGCCAGGCGGUAGUUCUCCCGAAAUCCCAACAAAAUAACUAAGAACCAAUCGGGUGUCUGAAGCGACGCCUCGAAAGGUAAAAAUAAAUUAACAUGCCGCAGUCGGGCGUCUGAGCGACACCACAUAAAGGGCUUAUAUUGAAAUGUAAAUGACAGUGCGUGCCACAGUUGGACGUCUACGUGACAUCUCGGAAAGGGCUUAUAAUGAAAAUAAAUAACAGUGAUACCACAGUCAGACGUCUACGCGACAUCUCGGAAAGGGCUUAUAAUGAAAAUAAAUAACAGUGAUGCCACAGUCAGACCUCUACACGACAUCUCGGAAAGGGCUUAUAAUGAAAAUAAAUAACAGUGAUGCCACAGUCAGACGUCUGAGCGACAUCACAGAAAGGGCUUAUAUUUCAUCAUUCAUAUUCAAUAGAUUCAUGAAGAUAAUUCAUUCAAAGGAAAUACUCAGUACAUAAUAAUAAAAGGGUUAGUCCAUCCACAGGAGAAUUAUUUAGCCGGACUUAACACUCAUGUUUGUUCACCAGAGAUUUGUCACUUGAGGCUGACACUGAGACUGACAAAGAUAAGUUGAACACAGUCCUUGACCAUAGACAAGGUUACUCGAAUGAUUUUGACUCUGCAAAGUUUGCACUAUUUAACCACAGCCAACAGAUUUCAGUAGUCAUGAAGGACUAGUUCCGUUUAUGGUAUUUCGGUAGAAACACAUCUAACCAUUACACACCCAUUCCACCUCAUGAUGCCAGGAAUCACCCUAGGCAACAUUCAAGAAAAACUUUGAGACAGGGAGGCCACAACCUCGAAUAGCAUGGGAUCAAAUUUAUAUUCGCGCGCUCUAAGGGGUGCCCCCCUCUCGGUCCCAACCGGAAACACCCAUGCCCCCUGACCGGAUGACUGGCUUUUAAUCCAGGGCCAUGGAACCCUCAUCACGGCCUCUCUAUUUGGUGUGUACGAGCCAAGAGGUUUGCAACUUACUAAACCAUAUUCUUUGCAGAAAACAUGUGGUAGCACAAAAAGAAAUGGAUGGUAACAUGACUUAUUCCACGUUGACACUGGAGUUAAAUGGUUUGGCAUAAGACUGGCAUGCUUCAACACUGCCAUCUUACCACCUCUCAUGUCACCACCUGAUCACGUAAACUCACAUCAAAUAACAUAUGGAGUUUUGAGGCUAACUUGCAUUAGCUUUGCAUGCAAUAUAUGUGACACUCCAAAAUUUUUAUUUGGUUUUUAUCAAAAACUUUGUGGUUUUGAGGAGAGACUUUUUUUUAUUUUUCUUUUUCAGAAAAACCUUCCUCUUAAAAACCUCCUUUUGCCUUGGCAGGGAUUUUAUUUCUUUCAAACUUUGGUGGUUGAUCUUUUGCAAACUUCUUCUCUGUUAGUUCCCUCUAAAAAUUUAAAUUUUUUUUGGGAGCUUUUAAUUUGUUUUAUUUAUUUUUUAAGUGAAGCUCUAUGAAAAUUUGGGUUUUUCUUAUCUUUGAAGCCACCCUUGGCUUUGUAUUUUUGCCCAUGAGAUAAAACCCCUCCAAAACCUCCCCUCCCCCUUGUGAUCAACCUAAAUUCUCUGUCCCAACUAAUCCAAACUGGUUUUGUAUUCUAUUCUAAUUAUUUUCCCCCCCAAUUCAAUUCUGAAAAUUAUUUGGAGCCUGAGGGAUUUUCAAAGCAAGUACACUUUUUCAUUUGAGUUUUGAACUCAAACCAAUUCUCCUGGAUUGUCCUUUGAACCCACAACCCAGAACCAUCUUGAUCCACUCCUCCUCUUUUCAAAAUUUUCAAAAUACAGUCUCUGCAAGUUUGGACCAGAUUUGCCAAAUUUGGUGAAAUUCAUAUCUACACUCCUCCAAAAAUUCCACCAAAAUUCAGACAGCCUAUUUGAGCAAUGAGAAGCCACUCCACCAAAAAUCAGCUCAAGGAAAAAUCCCUACAUGCCUGGAUCAUUCUGUCGAACACCUUGCAUGCACUGUUUUCCUUGCACUUUCAGAAAUUCAGUUUUCAGUUUCGACAGUUUCAGUCACGCGGCCACAGUGCACUUGGCACGUUUCUCGCGGCCUCGCUUGCUUGUCCGAAGCUUCACACGCGCACUUGGCGCGACCCUGGCAUCGGUGGCGCCCUGGCCCGCCUGCGCCGGCGUGUCUUGCGGCGGCCGGCUCCCCGUAACGGCCGACAGGGAGGAGAACGGCGGCGCAACGCCGUUCGGCACCGCCCAAAUCCUCUGGUGGCUCCGCGUGUGUCACGACCGGUUUUCCGGGUAAUAAAUUUCCAGAAAAGACCGUCGUGCUCAUCAGCCCCAGGAUUACUGUUAGCUGAUGAGGCUCCAACUUGAUACAGAAAUUCCAAGCAAAAUACAAAAUAUGUAGUACAAGACCAUUCUGGCCAGUGAGUACAACAAAUGGUUUCUAGUGGUUAAUGGCGGAAGCGGGUUGUGAAACAUCAGGGUCUAUGGGACUCCAUUUCCCACGGGAACAGCUGACCAGGUUAAUUCCUAUCUUCGCGAGGCUGCUAUCUCCAUUGAGUGCGUUCCGGGGCUGGCAUCGCGUCGCUCCUCUCCGUGCAAGAAAAUCUGGCCAAGACAAUAGCCAGGGACAAGCCAGUGAGUACUUUGAAUGUACUCGCAAACAUUAUGAACACAGGUAUAAUAUAACCAUGAUGUGCUAAAAAUAUUAUAAGCUCAUGACGUCAGUCACAAUGAAACUCAGAUGCGUGCAAGCAAGUUAUUUAUAAAAAUGCAAUAACAUGGUAGUAUAAAAAUUUAUGAAACAAAUAGCAAGCAAUGCCACAGUCGGGCGUCUUAGCGACUCCACAUAAAGGGCUUUAAAAGAAAUGCCACAGUCGGGCGUCUGAGCGACACCACAUAAAGGGCUUUAAAAGAAAUGUCACAGUCGGGCGUCUGAGCGACACCACAUAAAGGGCUUUAAAAGAAAUGCCACAGUCGGGCGUCUGAGCGACACCACAUAAAGGGCUUUAAAAGAAAUGCCACAGUCGGGCGUCUUAGCGACACCACAUAAAGGGCUUUAAAAGGAAUAAUCAUAAUGAAUAUCCCAGAGGUAGAACCAUCCCAGAGAUACUCAGUAAUAACAAUAAUAUCACGGGUUAGUCAACAAUAAUAAUAAUCAUAGAUAUCACAAGUCACGAGUAGUAAUUCCAUUUCUGGUUAACCGUUUCACCUCCGAAGACCGACACUAAGACCGAUACCUGACCCAUCCCAGACUGUAAUCCUUAACCAUGGACACGGCUAUUCGAAUAGGUUUAAAUAUCUCUGCAGAGAGUGUACUCUUUACCCACGAGUAACGGAUUCCUUUAGUCCAUCGGACUAAUUCCGUCUACGGUCUUUUAAUUGAAACACACCUGACUUGCACACACCAGCUUUCACUCGUGUCUGGAAUCACCCAUGACACCUGUUAAGCAAAGCUCUAAGUGGGGAGGCUACAACCUCGCGUAGCAUGAGAUCAAAUUUCUAUCGCGCGCUCUAAGGGGUGCCCCCCUCUCGGUCCCAACCGGAUACACCCAUGCCCCCGGACCAGGUGGCAUGCCUACCGGCUACAACCGGUAUCUUCCACCAUGGCCUCUCUGUACGGUGUGUGCCAAGACAAGGGUUAACAACUUACUGAACCAUACCCCACCUACGGUAGGGACCAGUGGCAGUACGAAAACAAGUAUGGGGGUUACCGGAACAAGACUCGAUCUAUGGCCGACUCAGGAGGCUUAUGAGUUCCCUGCAUGACAUGUAUAACAAAUAUAUUUCAACCGAAGAAAUCACCACUCAAUGUACCUUACCAUGCCAUACCGGACAUAACCGUCCCGACGGGGACCGGCGACAAGCUCACGCCUACCCAAGGCCAAGGCUUUCCCGGAUUCCUUUCCGGCAUGCAUGCAAGGCACAUGAGGAGGAUUACCAUCACAAUAAUAUUCAUUUCCAACAGCAAGUAAAUCACUGAUAUGCUCCCAUGCAAAUGAUCAUGUCACAUGAAAUAACAAGUCCUCCGAAGCAAGGUGGUGUUAUAAACGUGUCAAAUAACACACCAAAAACAUUAUGCCAGGGUUCAGAAUGCUUGCCUUCAUGGUGUGGAGAGGUGGGGGUGCUCUCCAAAAUUUUUGAAAGCUUCUUUCUCUCCCAAAAAUCCUAUUUUCAAUAAUAUGCAAAUAACACCUAUUUCAAAAACAGUACAAAAAAGUUGUUUGGAAAAUAUUCAAAUAAAUCUUAAAAUAAACUAGACAAUAUUUGAGAGAUGUAGGAAAAAGAAUUAAUUCAUUUGGAGUUAUAUUUAAAAAGUUAUAGCCAGUCAAAGUUCUGGUCAAAUCUGUUAUUUAAAUUAAAACAGAAAAGAAAACGUUUCGGAGGGGAAUACGCUUUCAGAGCGGGGAAAACGUACUAGGUGGAUUACGUCUUCACUUAAUCCCACGUGGACAGGCACGGGGUCGCUGACAGUGGGUCCAGGGGGCCCACUAGUCAGGUUUGACUAGUCUCUUUCCCUCUCCUUCCUCUGUCCCGAGCGGAGGCGGAGCUCCGGCGAUUGUUGCCGGCGACUGGCGGCUGCUCGCGGGGCCCUGAGGGCGGGGAUGGAUCCGCCACUCCAGUGCGGUCCUCCCGGUGGUCGCAGGGUAGCUGGAGGUGGAGGGAGCUGCCGGCGGCGAGCUCCGCGGCGGAGGAAAGCUUCGGUGGCGAAGUGACAUUGUGGCGGCGAUGGUUCACGAUCAAAAUCAAGUAGUGGGAAAGGUUCAUGGGAGGAUGAGGAAGUUCCUGGCAAAGAGAAGGGAGAGGGGGAGGUACUGGAGGUUCCGGAUUGGCCGGGGCGGUGGCGGCGGCCGGAGUUGCCGGAGAUGAGGAAGGAGGCCUCCCCGGGUCGAAUGCGAGGCAGGGGAGCGCCAUGGGGGUAGCAUAAGGUCGCCUGCGUGCUUGGGNNNNNNNNNNNNNNNNNNNNNNNNNNNNNNNNNNNNNNNNNNNNNNNNNNNNNNNNNNNNNNNNNNNNNNNNNNNNNNNNNNNNNNNNNNNNNNNNNNNNNNNNNNNNNNNNNNNNNNNNNNNNNNNNNNNNNNNNNNNNNNNNNNNNNNNNNNNNNNNNNNNNNNNNNNNNNNNNNNNNNNNNNNNNNNNNNNNNNNNNNNNNNNNNNNNNNNNNNNNNNNNNNNNCAUUUGUAGCGCGCCAAGGUCGGUUCCGCGGCGGUGGGGAUAAGCUCUCCGGCGAACCGUCUCUCUGUAGCUAGGGCGACGUGGCGGCGACGAACGCUAGCGGACACCCGUGUGGAUGAGCUCGGGCUAUGCCGGGGCCAGGUGGCGAGCCGGGGUGGCUUGGGCGGCGCUGAAUGGAGCAGGGGCUGUCGGCAGCGGCGGUGGCUAGCUCUUGGCCUGCCGGGCGUGGCGGGGGCUGCUUGGCGCGUUGCAGUGAGAAGGGUAGCGCGUGGCGAGGUGCUGCAGAGCGAGCCAAAACCGUGGGGGCCAGCGUGUCGGCUCGUGUGCGCGGCUGCAAUAUGCGCGCUCUGGGCGUGCCCAGAGCACGCCGACCAUCUGUUCGGCGAAAUGCCCUGGCCUGCUAGAUGGCUUGGUUGGAGCUGAGGAUUAGCAGUUCUAGGCUAUGGCUUGCAAGGGGAUCAGUAGACAAGCUGGUUUGGUCAGGAGAUCAGGUUCACAGUGCAAACCAAAAAUUCAUGCCAAAACAGAUCAUGCCCAUAUGGUGUUUGACAAAAUGCUAAGGGCACUUAGGCAUUUCUUGGAGUGGCCAAAAUCUCCAAAUCAGUGUCUCUGUGGAUGAAAGAGAGGGUGGUGAUGUUAGUUGGUGAAAUGCACAAACUUGUUAGUGCAAGUCUAGCAGAAUUUCAAUUCUGGACAGGAAAUAAAUGUCAUUAUUUCAUGAACCAAAAUUAAUCCAAUGGGUGCAUGCUCCUAGACUUAAGGGUUCGGCAAGGGGGACUACCAGUAGAAAAAGAAAUCAUGGAUAUAGGAGCAAUUAAAAUGGUGGUUGCUGUACAAAUCAUCAAGUUGGUCCAGAAUGGAAAUGAGGUUGAUUCACUCAAUAUUUUCAAAGAACAACCCUGGAUUUUUGCACAAAAUGGAAUAAUAUGCUCCUACUGACCUCCCCUAAUUUUGGUAGAAGUUUUAAAGAAAUAUAUAAAAGGGUUGUAGUGCAAAAUGCACUCUGGACCAGAGAAGAAAAACUGAGUGUAGGGCUCAAAAUAUUUCAUGAAUGAGAUAUAUUUUUGCAUAAAAGUGAUUUAAAAACAUCACAUGACAUCUCCAAAUUUUUGUGGAAAUUUUAAGUGAAUCUAUCAAAUGGUUGUAGUUCAAAUAUGGCCAUAUAACCUUGAAAAACUAUUUUCAAGAAGGUAAAGAUCAAGCAAUUAACUUAGUUAAUUAGUUAUACUGAUAAAAGGAAAUUUUUUCUUGAGAGGUUAAACAAGUCCAAAAACAUAUUUGAAAAGUUUUCUCUUUGGGAAAAACUCAUCAUAACAGGGAAGGAAAUGAUUUAAAAAUCAAAAUGGAGCUCAGAAAUCCAGAGUUUUAAUUCCUAGCAAAAUUUUAAUUUAAUAAAACAAGGCCAAAUUUUUGGGGUGUCACAAUACUAUCCCCCUUAAGAAAAAUCUCGUCCUCGAGAUUGUCUAAGAGCCGUUGUGAAUAACAAAAGUUCCAUAUGCAUUCGAGCGGUUGUGAGACUGCUGCCGUGGUGCUGUGUGAAAUUAAUUAAUCCGCGUCGUGAAGUGGCAGGUGUAGCAAUUCAGGAAAAGAAGUCUCACUCUAGGAUUCUGCGAGGGAAAAACAGUUAAUUUUUAGGAGCAUAAUCCACAACAAAAACUACACACAUUAGUAGAAGCCAAAUAAUUGACUCGUCGUACAAACUCAGGGUAUCACGCAUAAGUCACACACAUAAAUAAAUGUUGCAAGGAACAAAUACAAUAGCGACGUCAAAAAUGAAAAUGGUAACUGGGUGGGGUCCUGAUAAAAUGUCUCUGGUAAAGGGAUACACUCCUCUUCUAUCGGAGGAAGUGGAUUGACCAGUCGAUGUAUGCGUCUCUCCGGGUCGGGUCUCAGUGGUCUGCCGAUGGCAAUCUGAGGAUUUAAAUCUGCGAGGCUCUGGAGAUAAUCCAUCACUCGCUGGUUCAAAUGCUCUUGAGCAAUGAUGUACUGGAUAAGGUUGGCCAGAACUGGGUCUCUCUCAAUACGUCCACCGGGAAAAGAUGUUACUUCUCCGGGUGCUGCACGACUCGGAAAGUAAUAAUAUCCUCGUUCGCGGGCAUAGGGUACUGCGGAUCGAAGACGAGCAAUUGCUUCUUUCGCAGCAGCUUCUAUGGCCGGGUGUGGGGUUGGCAUAGAUUUCCCCACGAAGGAAACUUCUAUUGGAUCUUGGUUGGGGUCUACAGGAGGAAUGUGUACUGCUGCCCAAUAUUCCGAGGUGGAUGGGGUGAUCCUCGAUUUGAACAGCUCGUACUGAGGUGGCUGGGUAGAACCCAUAGUACUGCGGGUAAAAUCCCACAAUAUUUUGACAAAGCUACCUGGGGUUGCAUCUGGGGUUCUCAGAUGAAUGCUGGGGCUCGGCAUGACAGGAAAAAGCGUGAGUGUUGUGCACAAAGUGAGGGUUGUUGGGUAAGGUCACAAGGUGGUCUUUAUAUAGCAAUGGAGCCGGGUCGUUUUACCGUGGUGAAAGGUAAUAAAUUUGCCAGCUUAGCUCCAAAGGUCAGGUCAGUGUCGGAGAUACACAUAUCUCAUAAAGAGACGUGUUACUGUGGUUGUCGUCGGGUUGGUUUUGGUAGUCGUGCCUGGAAAAUAUGCAGCUAUGCGCUGACCAAAAAUGCAAGGCUACUAUUAAAGCAGAGGCACAAAGACAGGUUGCGUUAAAAUACGCGGUCGCAUGAUUACAAAGCGAGGAUACAUUGAAACUUGGUGCUACUCAUACGGCUUAGUCUACCUCGUUCAUGUCUAAACGAGCGUGCCUGGUGGAUGUCGAGGCUUCUCCACGUGUCUCACUGCCGGGAUUAGACGGAGAUGGCGGGGGAACUGCAGGGUUGGGGUAGUGAUGAUGACCAUCGCGGGGAUUGUUGGCCACAACUCCGUUGGAGUGCGCUCCCAAAAUGCGAUGAAGCACCUCUGGGGUUAUCGCAGCACCUUGGCCGAUGGCUGGGGCAGAUCUUGGGGUCUCGAUCGGUUGUCCAAACAGCACGACUGGGUUGUCGGCGUUGGGCUCGUUUUCUCCUCUCGCCGGGGCUCGACGAACGAGCUCUCCACGAGCUGCGAUUAGAUCAAUGGUGAUUUGGUCGAACAGUACCUCUAGUGCACUUACAUAGCGCACUAGGUGCAACAAUGCGGGGUCCGUCUCGUGAUCUCCGUUGGCAACUUGGGGUUGUCUACCAUACCUUUCACGUCUGGGGUAGUAGUGGAACGAGCGACAGUUAACUCUGGGCGACAAGUGCCUGAGAUGAACUAUAGCCUCUCGAGCGGCUAGCUGGAUGGCUUGUGGCUCAAAGGAAGUUGUCCUUCCAGUGAACCUGUAGGGGCGCUCGGGUGCUAGACCCCUACCGUAGAUGUGCACAGUGGCCCAGAAUUGACGGUCUUCACCGCUCAUGGGUCCUUGAUACACAACAUAUUCUGGUGGCUCCUCUAACGCGUAGGCACGACGGGUGAGGUUUGCGAGGAUGGUCACAAAACCUCCAAGGUUGGUUGCUAUGGUUUCGUUGUGCACUAUAGGUCCAGGCAUUGUGGCUCGGUUUGGGGUAGCGGCUGUGCUGUGCUGGGUUGAGGCUAGCGUGCCCUUUUUAUAAGAAAAAGGGGACGGAGUCUUCCUUCGCACGCUUGCGAGAAAGGACUAUUUAGGGGCCAGUCACUGGCGCAUGAGUGACAGGUUAGGUUGAUAGGUUGGGCACCGACUGCCAAAAAGGUGUUGGGUCACUGUGUGGCUAUCUUGCACGAGAAGCUUGGCUGGGGUUUGGCUAAGGUCUAGUGGGUUGGUUUGCCUAAGUUUAUUGACCUGGCUAAGAUAGGAUUAGCCAAUGGUCAGCCUGGCGCUGAUACCAAGUCUGUCACGACCGGUUUUCCGGGUAAUAAAUUUCCAGAAAAGACCGUCGUGCUCAUCAGCCCCAGGAUUACUGUUAGUUGAUGAGGCUCCAACUUGAUACAGAAAUUCCAAGCAAAAUACAAAAUAUGUAGUACAAGACCAUUCUGGCCAGUGAGUACAACAAAUGGUUUCUAGUGGUUAAUGGCGGAAGCGGGUUGUGAAACAUCAGUGUCUAUGGGACUCCAUUUCCCACGGGAACAGCUGACCAGGUUAAUUCCUAUCUUCGCGAGGCUGCUAUCUCCAUUGAGUGCGUUCCGGGGCUGGCAUCGCGUCGCUCCUCUCCGUGCAAGAAAAUCUGGCCAAGACAAUAGCCAGGGACAAGCCAGUGAGUACUUUGAAUGUACUCGCAAACAUUAUGAACACAGGUAUAAUAUAACCAUGAUGUGCUAAAAAUAUUAUAAGCUCAUGACGUCAGUCACAAUGAAACUCAGAUGCGUGCAAGCAAGUUAUUUAUAAAAAUGCAAUAACAUGGUAGUAUAAAAAUUUAUGAAACAAAUAGCAAGCAAUGCCACAGUCGGGCGUCUUAGCGACUCCACAUAAAGGGCUUUAAAAGAAAUGCCACAGUCGGGCGUCUGAGCGACACCACAUAAAGGGCUUUAAAAGAAAUGCCACAGUCGGGCGUCUGAGCGACACCACAUAAAGGGCUUUAAAAGAAAUGCCACAGUCGGGCGUCUGAGCGACACCACAUAAAGGGCUUUAAAAGAAAUAAUCAUAAUGAAUAUCCCGGAGGUAGAACCAUCCCAGAGAUACUCGGUAAUAACAAUAAUAUCACGGGUUAGUCAACAAUAAUAAUAAUCAUAGAUAUCACAAGUCACGAGUAGUAAUUCCAUUUCUGGUUAACUGUUUCACCUCCGAAGACCGACACUAAGACCGAUACCUGACCCAUCCCAGACUGUAAUCCUUAACCAUGGACACGGCUAUUCGAAUAGGUUUAAAUAUCUCUGCAGAGAGUGUACUCUUUACCCACGAGUAACGGAUUCCUUUAGUCCAUCGGACUAAUUCCGUCUACGGUCUUUUAAUUGAAACACACCUGACUUGCACACACCAGCUUUCACUCGUGUCUGGAAUCACCCGUGACACCUGUUAAGCAAAGCUCUAAGUGGGGAGGCUACAACCUCGCGUAGCAUGAGAUCAAAUUUCUAUCGCGCGCUCUAAGGGGUGCCCCCCUCUCGGUCCCAACCGGAUACACCCAUGCCCCCGGACCAGGUGGCAUGCCUACCGGCUACAACUGGUAUCUUCCACCAUGGCCUCUCUGUACGGUGUGUGCCAAGACAAGGGUUAACAACUUACUGAACCAUACCCCACCUACGGUAGGGACCAGUGGCAGUACGAAAACAAGUAUGGGGGUUACCGGAACAAGACUCGAUCUAUGGCCGACUCAGGAGGCUUAUGAGUUCCCUGCAUGACAUGUAUAACAAAUAUAUUUCAACCAAAGAAAUCACCACUCAAUGUACCUUACCAUGCCAUACCGGACAUAACCGUCCCGACGGGGACCGGCGACAAGCUCACGCCUACCCAAGGCCGAGGCUUUCCCGGAUUCCUUUCCGGCAUGCAUGCAAGGCACAUGAGGAGGAUUACCAUCACAAUAAUAUUCAUUUCCAACAGCAAGGAAAUCACUGAUAUGCUCCCAUGCAAAUGAUCAUGUCACAUGAAAUAACAAGUCCUCCGAAGCAAGGUGGUGUUAUAAACGUGUCAAAUAACACACCAAAAACAUUAUGCCAGGGUUCAGAAUGCUUGCCUUCAUGGUGUGGAGAGGUGGGGGUGCUCUCCAAAAAUUUUGAAAGCUUCUUUCUCUCCCAAAAAUCCUAUUUUCAAUAAUAUGCAAAUAACACCUAUUUCAAAAACAGUACAAAAAAGUUGUUUGGAAAAUAUUCAAAUAAAUCUUAAAAUAAACUAGACAAUAUUUGAGAGAUGUAGGAAAAAGAAUUAAUUCAUUUGGAGUUAUAUUUAAAAAGUUAUAGCCAGUCAAAGUUCUGGUCAAAUCUGUUAUUUAAAUUAAAACAGAAAAGAAAACGUUUCGGAGGGGAAUACGCUUUCGGAGCGGGGAAAACGUACUAGGCGGAUUAUGUCUUCACUUAAUCCCACGUGGACCGGCACGGGGUCGCUGACAGUGGGUCCAGGGGGCCCACUAGUCAGGUUUGACUAGUCUCUUUCCCUCUCCUUCCUCUGUCCCGAGCGGAGGCGGAGCUCCGGCGAUUGUUGCCGGCGACUGGCGGCUCCUCGCGGGGCCCUGAGGGCGGGGAUGGAUCCGCCACUCCAGUGCGGUCCUCCCGGUGGUCGCAGGGUAGCUGGAGGUGGAGGGAGCUGCCGGCGGCGAGCUCCGCGGCGGAGGAAAGCUUCGGUGGCGAAGUGACAUUGUGGCGGCGAUGGUUCCCGAUCAAAAUCAAGUAGUGGGAAAGGUUCAUGGGAGGAUGAGGAAGUUCCUGGCGAAGAGAACGUAGAGGGGGAGGUACUGGAGGUGCCGGAUUGGCCGGGGCGGUGGCGGCGGCCGGAGUUGCCGGAGAUGAGGAAGGAGGCCUCCCCGGGUCGAAUGCGAGGCAGGGGAGCGCCAUGGGGGUAGCAUAAGGUCGCCUGCGUGCUUGGGGAAGCUCGGGGGGGGGUCCAUUUGUAGCGCGCCAAGGUCGGUUCCGCGGCGGUGGGGAUAAGCUCUCCGGCGAACCGUCUCUCUGUAGCUAGGGCGACGUGGCGGCGACGAACGCUAGCGGACACCCGUGUGGAUGAGCUCGGGCUGUGCCGGGGCCAGGUGGCGAGCCGGGGUGGCUUGGGCGGCGCUGAAUGGAGCAGGGGCUGUCGGCGGCGGCGGCGGCUAGCUCUUGGCCUGCCGGGCGUGGCGGGGGAUGCUUGGCGCGUUGCGGUGGGAAGGGUAGCGCGUGGCGAGGUGCUGCAGAGCGAGCCAAAACCGUGGGGGCCAGCGUGUCGGCUCGUGUGCGCGGCUGCAAUAUGCGCGCUCUGGGCGUGCCCAGAGCACGCCGACCAUCUGUUCGGCGAAAUGCCCUGGCCUGCUAGAUGGCUUGGUUGGAGCUGAGGAUUAGCAGUUCUAGGCUAUGGCUUGCAAGGGGAUCAGUAGACAAGCUGGUUUGGUCAGGAGAUCAGGUUCACAGUGCAAACCAAAAAUUCAUGCCAAAACAGAUCAUGCCCAUAUGGUCUUUGACAAAAUGCUAAGGGCACUUAGGCAUUUCUUGGAGUGGCCAAAAUCUCCAAAUCAGUGUCUCUGUGGAUGAAAGAGAGGGUGGUGAUGUUAGUUGGUGAAAUGCACAAACUUGUUAGUGCAAGUCUAGCAGAAUUUCAAUUCUGGACAGGAAAUAAAUGGCAUUAUUUCAUGAACCAAAAUUAAUCCAAUGGGUGCAUGCUCCUGGACUUAAGGGUUUGGCAAGGGGGACUACCAGUAGAAAAAGAAAUCAUGGAUAUAGGAGCAAUUAAAAUGGUGGUUGCUGUACAAAUCAUCAAGUUGGUCCAGAAUGGAAAUGAGGUUGAUUCACUCAAUAUUUUCAAAGAACAACCCUGGAUUUUUGCACAAAAUGGAAUAAUAUGCUCCUACUGACCUCCCCUAAUUUUGGUAGAAGUUUUAAAGAAAUAUAUAAAAGGGUUGUAGUGCAAAAUGCACUCUGGACCAGAGAAGAAAAACUGAGUGUAGGGCUCAAAAUAUUUCAUGAAUGAGAUAUAUUUUUGCAUAAAAGUGAUUUAAAAACAUCACAUGACAUCUCCAAAUUUUUGUGGAAAUUUUAAGUGAAUCUAUCAAAUGGUUGUAGUUCAAAUAUGGCCAUAUAACCUUGAAAAACUAUUUUCAAGAAGGUAAAGAUCAAGCAAUUAACUUAGUUAAUUAGUUAUACUGAUAAAAGGAAAGUUUUUCUUGAGAGGUUAAACAAGUCCAAAAACAUAUUUGAAAAGUUUUCUCUUUGGGAAAAACUCAUCAUAACAGGGAAGGAAAUGAUUUAAAAAUCAAAAUGGAGCUCAGAAAUCCAGAGUUUUAAUUCCUAGCAAAAUUUUAAUUUAAUAAAACAAGGCCAAAUUUUUGGGGUGUCACAGCGUGGCCUUCUCCGUGCCAGCGCAUGCAUGCGGCACCGUCGCCGUGGCGCAGCACGCACGGAGCGCGCUCUCUGCCGCCGAUGGGCCCGCGCCACCCCGUUCCGUCGAGCUCGACCCAAACACCCAAACCCCGGCCAGUUUAGCACUAAAACGGACCCAUUGAACCUCCGUGAUGACGCUCGACCCCCUAACCACCCCGCCCGAGCACUGCGCCACCGUAAUCGCUCGCCGGUGAUCCUCGUUCACGGCAACCGCCUCGGACCGCCUAUAUAAAGGGGUCCCGAGCUCACUCUCGUGCAUGCAGCACCCCCACUACUCACCAACACCCCCGCCAGGCCACUAGGGGGACCUCGAGGAGGUCUCCUCCCCCAGCUCCGGCCGCCUCGCCCCGCCUCGGCCUCCAGCCCGAUUCGUUCUGGUGAGGCCAUCUCCAGCGCUCAAACCCCGUUCGUUACCCUCUCUAGCUGCCAGGAGCAUGACCCCCUCUUCAAUUUAACCUUUGCAGCCCUCUCCGACGAGCCCCUCGACCACCCGAGCCGCCGUCCGCCGGAGCAAAGCUCGCCGUCGACGUGGUGCUCGCCGACCGACUCUACCACCAUCAACUGACGCGGAAGGGUGCCCUGAGCACGGAGGUACUCUCCGAUCUCUCUGCCUCGCCGUGGAUCGCCGCCGGCGACCACCGCGGCUCUCGGGCGCCGGCGAACUCUGCCGCCCCGUUUGAACAUUUGAACCUGACGGGUGGGACCCCACCGUCAGCCUCUCUGCUCUCUCUUUCGAAUUGUUUUCUGGAAGCGCCUUCGGGCAGAAUGUGUUUUCUCUUCGGGCUGGCGUAGUCGCUACCGAAGCGUUUUCUGUUUUUAUAAACUAGCCCCUGGAAAUCUUCUGUUUCAUUACAGAUAAGUUCCUGGACAAAAACCCUUAUAACUUUUAAUCAGAAAAGUAUUUUUGAUUGAUUCUUUUUCUGUUCUCUUUAGAAUUUUGUCUAGUUUUUUAUCAGAUUUAUUUGAAAAAUAUUUGGUUUACCUUCUGUGCUCUCCUUGGUAUUUACAUUAGCGCAUAUAUUUUCUUUAAACCGUAGAUACCGAAGGAGGUGACGGAGCCGCGAACUUCACCGAGCUAGGCUCCGACUACUCUGAACCAGGCAAGCAUGUUUGAACUUUUGAUAUGAUGAGUGUCUCGGCAUGUUUUGCAUUUAGUUAGUUUCAUGGCAUGUUGGUAAGCAUACCGAUGAACGAUAUUUUAUGUGAUAAUAAGGUGAGUAAGUUCAAUGAUCCAUACGUGGAUGAAUGUGAAUAUGAAUGGCCAUGUGUUGGCAUGAGGAUGGGUACGAUGGCAGUGUUGUAGCAUGCCAGUCUUACGCCAGACUAUGUGACUUCAGUGACAAACCAUAUCGGUCCAGUACCUAUCAUUUCCUUCCUUGUACUACCACAUGUUUUCCGCAAGGAAUAUGGUUUAGUAAGUUGCAAACCACUUUCAUGGUACACACCAAAGAGGAGAGGCCGUGAUGAUGGUUCCAUGGCCCUGGAUUAAAGCCAGUCAUCCGGUCAGGGGGCAUGGGUGUUUCCGGUUGGGACCGAGAGGGGGGCACCCCUUAGAGCGCGCGUAUAUAAAUUUGAUCCCAUGCUAUUCGAGAUUGUGAUCUCCCCGUCUCAAAAGUUUUUCUUGGACGAUGACUAGGGUGAUUCCUAGCAUCGAGAGGUAGGAUGGGUGUGUACCGGUUAGCUGUGUUUUCUUCCGAAAUACCAUAANNNNNNNNNNNNNNNNNNNNNNNNNNNNNNNNNNNNNNNNNNNNNNNNNNNNNNNNNNNNNNNNNNNNNNNNNNNNNNNNNNNNNNNNNNNNNNNNNNNNNNNNNNNNNNNNNNNNNNNNNNNNNNNNNNNNNNNNNNNNNNNNNNNNNNNNNNNNNNNNNNNNNNNNNNNNNNNNNNNNNNNNNNNNNNNNNNNNNNNNNNNNNNNNNNNNNNNNNNNNNNNNNNNNNNNNNNNNNNNNNNNNNNNNNNNNNNNNNNNNNNNNNNNNNNNNNNNNNNNNNNNNNNNNNNNNNNNNNNNNNNNNNNNNNNNNNNNNNNNNNNNNNNNNNNNNNNNNNNNNNNNNNNNNNNNNNNNNNNNNNNNNNNNNNNNNNNNNNNNNNNNNNNNNNNNNNNNNNNNNNNNNNNNNNNNNNNNNNNNNNNNNNNNNNNNNNNNNNNNNNNNNNNNNNNAAGCCCUUUCUGCGAUGUCGCUCAGACGUCCGACUGUGGCAUUUCUUUUAAAGCCCUUUCUGCGAUGGCGCUCAGACGUCCGACUGUGGCAUUUCAUUUAAAGUCCUUUCUGCGAUGUCGCUCAGACGUCCGACUGUGGCAUUUCUUUUAAAGCCCUUUCUGCGAUGUCGCUCAGACAUCCGACCGUGGCAUUUCUUUUAAAGCCCUUUAUGUGGUGUCGCUAAGAUGCCCGACUGUGGCAUCAUUCACCUUUUGAGGCGUCGCUUCAGGCACCCGAUCGGUCUUUAUUUAUGCUCUGUGGGAUUUCAGGCGGACUACCGCCGUUUCCCUUUUUACUUACCCCGUUAUGCAAAUUUUUAUUUAUUGUGCAUUAAGGAAUUAAUCAUGUUGCAUCCAUGCACGCAGUUGUUAUAUCUUACAUCCGAACUGUCUUGCGAGUACUUUCAAAGUACUCACUGGCUUGUUGAUUUGGCCAGAUGCUGACGAAGGCGAUCUCAUGGAUGAAGAGUUCGAUAGCGAGUCCGACACUUAGAGGAGUCCCAGUCAGUCUCGUGCGACCCUGGAUUUGGUCACUGUUUUAUAUCCGCUUCCGCUACCAAAUAAAUUUAUCGAGCCUCACCUCGAUGUUCGAUGAAAUGAUAUUCUUAGAGUCUUGUAUUUCCCUUCCCGCUGUGCUUUUCCACCACCAACCUAUCCAUGAGUCAGUAGUAUGUCUCCACACCACUGUGUCCUGUCCGCCAUUAUGUAUGAUUAUUGGCGUGCUUGUAAUAAUUUGGUUGAGCGACCGCAGUUCAACCCUGUAAUAUAUUUUACGCUACUGCCUUAUUGUAUCAAGAAAUUGUCUACCAGUGAGGAGGAUUUCUCUCAUACUGGACUCAAAAGACUGGUUUAUCAAUAAAUAUUUUUAUUGGAAAACCGGUCGUGACAAGCUUGGUACCAGAGCCAGGCUGACUGUAGGAAGCCACUAGGUGCGAUCGCUAAUUAGUUAUUAGCAUGACAGGGCUAUUUUAUGCUUUUGCAAUUGUAGUCAUUUUCUGUCAGUCAGCAUAAAUUUAUUAUCUGACCCUGCAGAAUUUUGCCUACUUUUGUAGAUGGCCGACGUCAGCUGCGAAUCUCAGACCUUCGCCAACGUGCCCGAUGGGUUCGUCAAACUUCUUUCUUCCAUCGUUAGGGUCGCGAUGGGGCCAUCCGUGCGCCCAGUCUUCACACUCUACCAGCACCGAGUCAACGACAGUCUGACCAUGCACCAGGCCGCGGUGCAGUUCAGGGGAGGGCGUGGUGAGUCACGCCGCUUCCGGUUCGUGGGAAGAGCUAUGCCUACGGAGGGGCAUGCUAUGCAGAUGGCAGCCCGCGAGGCGAUAGCUCGUCUCAGGGAUGUCCUUCCCGUGAUGAAGACUCGUCAUUACCGUUAUCUUCCAUGCCAUGUGCCUUACACCUGUCACUACGCAUACUCCUGCCCCAGAGGAGAACGAGACGAGGCUUUUGAGAUGCUCAUUGAGUAUCUCCGGGCCCUGGAGGCAGCCUUCGACAACCUGGUGGACGACUUCGUAGCUACCCGCAUGGACUCAGUCCAUGGCUGUGCUGCCAACAGGAGGGAGCUCCUACCCAUCGCUCCGCCACCGACUUUUGUCUCGUCAUCAGCAUCUUUUACGCCUACUCGUCGCCUGCCUUCUACCGAAGAAUUUAACCAAGUCAUUGCACCCACUCCAGCGCGCACUACACCAACCUUCGCGCCCACUCCUGUACGUGUUGCUCCGCCCCUGGCAACCGCUCCGUCCGCUCUGCACAACACUACACGUAUGGAACCCAUUAGCGAGGAGGAAGUCGAGUCCCCAACCUCGCUACGCCUCUCCCUCGGCAGGGCAAGGGAGAUCGUCAACAUCUCUGCCUGAGUACGCUUAGCUGCCGUGUAUUGUACCGCUUUGUAGGAUAUGUAAUGAGCAGUCCUUCUCCGUGCGCAAUUCGAUUUGUUUUUCUUAAGUAAGCUUGGGUAUUUAAUAAUAUCUGCCAGCUUUAUGCAUUUAUGGUUUUAUUUUUGCGACUCUUUCCGCUUUUCUUAAGAGUUUUACAAAAAAAAUUCCCAGAGUGAAAAAUGUCUCGUCCUUGGACACGUUCCAUGCCAACUCCACCAGAGGAAAUUCAUGAUACUCAACCCAACAAUGAGUUCACUCAGGGACAGACAAGCCAACAAGGUAGUGAAUCGGCACUUUCACAAAUGUGCCGCCUUUAUGAACAGAGUCAGCAACAACAUCGCGAGAUGAUGAACCAAGUCAUCAACAUGGGGAAUCAUCAUGGACAGUAUCAGCAACAUUCCAAGUUAUCUGAGCUACAGAAGACACGUCCUCAAACAUUUUCUCACACUGACAAGCCUCUUGAAGCCGAGGACUGGCUUCGAGAUAUGGAGAGGAAAUUAAUUAUUGCAAAGUGUUCAGAUCUCGAGAAAGUACUAUAUGCUCCACACUAUCUCACAGGAGCAGCCGCAUCGUGGUGGGAGAAUUUUCUGCACAUGCAUCCCAACGAAAAUGACAUAACCUGGGAUGAUUUCAAGGAAGGUUUCCGUGGUGCACAUAUUCCUAAGAGUAUUAUGAAAAUCAAGAAGAGAGAAUUUGAUGACCUCAAACAAAGGAACAUGACAGUGUCAGAUUACAACAGUCAAUUUACCCUAUUAUCCCGCUACGCCAAUGAGGAGCGUAUGACUGAAAUCAAGAAGAUGGAGAAAUUCCUUGACGGUCUGGCGCCCGCGCUUAAAUGCCAACUGGUCGUGCACACUUUUCCUGAUUUUAAAACGCUGGUGGACAAGGCCAUUACUCUGGAAAAUGAGAGACGCAGUCUGGAAGAUAUCCGCAAGCGAAAAAGGGACCAGAUUAAUCACACUCGCAAUCACCGAAGCAAGAUAGAUUUUAAAAAGGGUGGGACACCCAAAUUCUCAUCCAAUGUCUCACGCCCAAUCAAGAAUUUUCAUGCAAGGGACAAGGAAUUCACCUAUCGCCCCGGCGUUACUUGUUACGCUUGUGGAGAAGAAGGGCAUUAUGCCAAACAGUGCCCCAAGCCAAGGAACUCAACCCCAAAGCCGAACAACGGCGGCAAUAAUUCAGCACCCAAACGAAACAAUUUCAAUCCCAACAAUAACCACAGGAAGGGUCAUCUGAACCACGUAACCAAAGAGGAGGCACAAAAUGCUCCGGAUAUCGUACUCGGUACGUUUCCUGUCAACACAAUACCUGCAAUGGUUUUGUUUGAUUCUGGAGCUUCUCACUCUUUCAUCUCGAAAAGUCUUGCUUUGCAAAAUAAUUUUUCGAUGCUUCCUUUGGAGAGAUCCAUAAUAAUCAAGUCCCCCGGGAUUCAGCAAGUUUCUCAGAAUUACUGUCAGAAUGUGGUCAUUGAGUUUGAAGGAUUGGAGUUUUACGCAAAUCUUAUUGUAUUGGAAAAUAAAGGACUGGAUGUCAUCCUAGGGAUGGAUUGGCUAACCACCAAUAAAGGUUUUAUCGACUGUUUCAACAGGACCGUGAUUCUCACACACCACCAAGGGAAGAAAAUAAGAGUAUCAGCCAAGGAAGGAAAAAGACCCCGGCAACCGAGAUUAAAUAAGGUGGACGUUUCUGAGCUAAAUAAGGUUCCAGUAGUGCGUGAAUUUCCAGAUGUAUUCCCUGAAGAGCUGCCAGGCAUGCCACCAGAUCGAGAAAUAGAAUUCUGCAUUGAGCUAGCACCAGGAACCACCCCCAUAUACAAGAAGCCAUACAGAAUGGCACCAUCCGAGUUGAUCGAAUUGAAGAAGCAAAUAAAGGAAUUACUGGAUAAAGGAUACAUUCGGGCCAGCUCCUCACCUUGGGGAUCACCAAUUUUAUUUGCCAAGAAGAAGGAUGGAACGCUGAGAUUGUGUAUCGACUAUCGAGCACUUAACAUGGUCACAGUCAAAAACAAAUACCCGAUGCCAAGGAUAAACGAUUUGUUUGAUCAACUUGCUCAGGCCAAGGUAUUCUCAAAAAUUGACUUAAGGUCGGGAUACCAUCAAUUGAAGGUACGAACGGAAGAUAUCCCCAAAACAGCCUUCACCUCCAGAUAUGGACUGUACGAGUUCACAGUAAUGCCAUUUGGAUUAACUAACGCCCCGGCAUAUUUUGUUCACCUCAUGAACAAAGUAUUUAUGAAGUUUAUGGACAAAUUCGUCGUAGUAUUCAUCGACGAUAUUCUGGUAUACUCCAAAACACCAGAAGAGCACGCAGAACAUCUCAGGAUUGUACUAGGAGAGCUAAGGAAACACCAAUUGUAUGCCAAGUUCAGCAAGUGCGAAUUUUGGCUAAGACAAGUAGGUUUCCUAGGCCACGUACUGACUCAAGACGGUAUAGCAGUGGACCCGGAGAAAGUCAAGGCCGUACUUGACUGGAAGUCACCAGCCAGCGUAACAGACAUACGAAGUUUCUUGGGAAUGGCAGGAUAUUACCGCAGAUUUAUUGAAGGAUUUUCCACCAUAUCCAAGCCUAUGACACAGUUACUCAAGAAGGAUAAGAAGUUUGAGUGGACAGAAGCCUGCGAGAAAAGUUUCCAAGAGCUAAAGCGGAAAUUAACAACAGCACCGGUAUUAAUUGUACCCGAUAUACACAAGAAUUUUGAAGUAUUUUGUGACGCAUCCAGAAAGGGUCUCGGAUGCGUGUUGAUGCAAGAAGGCAAGGUUGUCGCCUACGCUUCAAGGCAACUUCGCAAACACGAGGAAAAUUAUCCCACUCAUGAUUUAGAAAUGGCAGCAGUUAUUCAUGCACUCAAGGAAUGGAGGCAUUUUCUACUUGGAAAUCGAUGUGAGAUAUAUACGGAUCACAAAAGCCUCAAAUACAUUUUUACGCAGCCAGAACUAAAUUUACGGCAACGCCGCUGGUUAGAAUUGGUAAAGGAUUACGAUGUUGGUAUCCAUUACCAUCCAGGGAAAGCAAACGUAGUGGCCGAUGCCCUGAGUCGGAACCCCAGCUCCGACGGGAACUAUCUGCACAGCUUGAGGCCCGAAUUCCAUCAAGAAUUUGUCAAGCUCAACUUGAUAAUGGUAGCAGAAGGCACCAUAUCAAACUUGGAAAUACAACCACACCUUGUGGAGAAAAUUAAAGAGGCUCAGUCCGGUCACCCCAGCAUUGAAGGAAUUAAAAGGAAGUUGAGUAUGGGCAAGGCCUCGGAAUUCGUCAUAGACAGUGAAGGAAUAUUAUGGUACGGAGAAAGGCUAUGCGUGCCAAACAUACAAGACCUUAAACAGCAAGUUUUAACUGAAGCACACACCACUCCAUAUUCGAUCCACCCUGGAGGAACCAAAAUGUAUAAGGAUAUUCAGGAAAGAUUUUGGUGGCACGGUAUGAAGAGGGACAUAGCCGCUUUCAUUGCAUGUUGCGACUCAUGUCAACGCAUAAAAGCUGAACAUCAGAGACCAGCCGGACUACUGCAACCUAACAAAAUACCUGAGUGGAAAUGGGAUGAAAUAGGGAUGGAUUUUAUUGUCGGAUUACCUCGGUCACGACACGGGAAUGAUGCCAUAUGGGUCAUCACUGACAGGUUGACCAGAGUAGCACACUUUAUUCCAGUGAAGACAACCUACACCACUCAGAGGCUUGCCAGGAUUUAUCUUUCCCGCAUAGUCUGUCUGCACGGUGUCCCGAAGACUAUAAUUUCCGACAGAGGCACUCAGUUCGUCUCAAGAUUUUGGGAGCAAUUACAACAGGCUCUGGGAACCCAACUAGCCUUCAGUACCGCAUACCAUCCACAGACUGAUGGACAAACAGAACGCGUAAACCAAGUUUUAGAAGACAUGCUGAGAGCAUGUGUCCUCACCUAUGGAACCAGUUGGGAGGACAGCCUGCCAUAUGCCGAGUUCGCAUACAACAACAGUUACUAGGCCAUCCUGCAAAUGGCUCCUUUCGAAGCCCUAUACGGAAGGAGAUGUCGUACCCCGUUAAAUUGGUCAGAGACCGGAGACAGCCGCAUCUUCGGACCAGAUAUGCUCAGAGAAGCCGAGGAAAAAGUCAAGUUAAUCAGGGACCGACUUAAGACCGCUCAAAGUCGACAGAAAAGUUAUUAUGAUCAGAAACAUCGUAGGGUCAGCUUCGAACCCGGUGAAUUCGUAUACUUGAGAGUAUCCCUGAUGAGAGGAUUGCAACGGUUUAAGAUUAAAGGAAAAUUAGCACCAAGAUUCAUUGGACCAUUUUGCAUAGUGGCACGAAGAGGCACUGUAGCCUACCAGCUAGACUUACCCGAAGACUUGUCCGACAUUCACGACGUGUUCCACGUCUCUCAAUUAAGGAAGUGCGUAAGCAACCCAGAGAAACAAGUAUCUCAUGAGAACAUUGACGUACAGCCAGACCUCACUUAUCGAGAACGUCCCAUAAGAAUAUUAGAGGAGUCUGAAAGGAGGACCCGACAGAAAACCAUCAAGUUUUUCAAAGUCCAGUGGAGCAAUCACACCGACAGUGAAGCAACUUGGGAAAGCGAGGAUUUUCUUCGGACAGAGCAUCCACACUUAUUUAAGGAUCAGCUAAAAUCUCGGGGAUGAGAUUUUUCCUAAGGGGGUAGGUGUUGUGACACUCCAAAAUUUUUAUUUGGUUUUUAUCAAAAACUUUGUGGUUUUGAGGAGAGACUUUUUUUUUAUUUUUCUUUUUCAGAAAAACCUUCCUCUUAAAAACCUCCUUUUGCCUUGGCAGGGAUUUUAUUUCUUUCAAACUUUGGUGGUUGAUCUUUUGCAAACUUCUUCUCUGUUAGUUCCCUCUAAAAAUUUAAAUUUUUUUGGGAGCUUUUAAUUUGUUUUUUUUAAGUGAAGCUCUAUGAAAAUUUGGGUUUUUCUUAUCUUUGAAGCCACCCUUGGCUUUGUAUUUUUGCCCAUGAGAUAAAACCCCUCCAAAACCUCCCCUCCCCCUUGUGAUCAACCUAAAUUCUCUGUCCCAACUAAUCCAAACUGGUUUUGGAUUCUAUUCUAAUUAUUUUCCCCCCCAAUUCAAUUCUGAAAAUUAUUUGGAGCCUGAGGGAUUUUCAAAGCAAGUACACUUUUUCAUUUGAGUUUUGAACUCAAACCAAUUCUCCUGGAUUGUCCUUUGAACCCACAACCCAGAACCAUCUUGAUCCACUCCUCCUCUUUUCAAAUUUUUCAAAAUACAGUCUCUGCAAGUUUGGACCAGAUUUGCCAAAUUUGGUGAAAUUCAUAUCUACACUCCAAAAAUUCCACCAAAAUUCAGACAGCCUAUUUGAGCAAUGAGAAGCCACUCCACCAAAAAUCAGCUCAAGGAAAAAUCCCUACAUGCCUGGAUCAUUCUGUCGAACACCUUGCAUGCACUGUUUUCCUUGCACUUUCAGAAAUUUAGUUUUCAGUUUCGACAGUUUCAGUCACGCGGCCACAGUGCACUUGGCACGUUGCUCGCGGCCUCGCUUGCUUGUCCGAAGCUUCACACGCGCACUUGGCGCGACCCUGGCGUCGGUGGCGCCCUGGCCCGCCUGCGCCGGCGUGUCUUGCGGCGGCCGGCUCCCCGUAACGGCCGACAGGGAGGAGAAUGGCGGCGCAACGCCGUUCGGCACCGCCCAAAUCCUCUGGUGGCUCCGCGUGGCCUUCUCCGUGCCAGCGCACGCAUGCGGCAUCGUCGCCGUGGCGCAGCACGCACGGAGCGCGCUCUCUGCCGCCGACGGGCCCGCGCCACCCCGUUCCGUCGAGCUCGACCCAAACACCCAAACCCCGGCCAGUUUAGCACUAAAAUGGACCCAUUGAACCUCCGUGAUGACGCUCGACCCCCUAACCACCCCGACCGAGCACUGCGCCACCGUAAUCGCUCGCCGGUGAUCCUCGUUCACGGCAACCGCCUCGGACCGCCUAUAUAAAGGGGUCCCGAGCUCACUCUCGUGCACGCAGCACCCCCACUACUCACCAACACCCCGCCAGGCCACUAGGGGGACCUCGAGGAGGUCUCCUCCCCCAGCUCCGGCCGCCUCGCCCCGCCUCGGCCUCCAGCCCGAUUCGUUCUGGUGAGGCCAUCUCCGGCGCUCAAACCCCGUUCGUUACCCUCUCUAGCUGCCAGGAGCAUGACCCCCUCUUCAAUUGAACCUUUGCAGCCCUCUCCGACGAGCCCCUCAACCACCCGAGCCGCCGUCCGCCGGAGCAAAGCUCGCCGUCGACGUGGUGCUCACCGACCGACUCUACCACCAUCAACUGACGCGGAAGGGUGCCCUGAGCACGGAGGUACUCUCCGAUCUCUCUGCCUCGCCGUGGAUCGCCGCCGGCGACCACCGCGGCUCUCGGGCGCCGGCGAACUCUGCCGCCCCGUUUGAACAUUUGAACCUGACGGGUGGGACCCCACCGUCAGCCUCUCUGCUCUCUCUUUCGAAUCGUUUUCUGGAAGCGCCUUCGGGCAGAAUGCGUUUUCUCUUCGGGCUGGCGUAGUCGCUACCGAAGCGUUUUCUGUUUUUAUAAACUAGCCCCUGGAAAUCUUCUGUUUCAUUACAGAUAAGUCCCUGGACAAAAACCCUUAUAACUUUUAAUCAGAAAAGUAUUUUUGAUUGAUUCUUUUUCUGUUCUCUUUAAAAUUUUGUCUAAUUUUUUACCAGAUUUAUUUGAAAAAUAUUUGGUUUACCUUCUGUGCUCUCCUUGGUAUUUACUUUAGCGCAUAUAUUUUCUUUAAACCGUAGAUACCGAAGGAGGUGACGGAGCCGCGAACUUCACCGAGCUAGGCUCCGACUAUUUUGAACCAGGCAAGCAUGUUUGAACUUUUGAUAUGAUGAGUGUCUCGGCAUGUUUUGCAUUUAGUUAGUUUCAUGGCAUGUUGGUAAGCAUACCGAUGAACGAUAUUUUAUGUGAUAAUAAGGUGAGUAAGUUCAAUGAUCCAUACGUGGAUGAAUGUGAAUAUGAAUGGCCAUGUGUUGGCAUGAGGAUGGGUACGAUGGCAGUGUUGUAGCAUGCCAGUCUUACGCCAGACUAUGUGACUUCAGUGACAAACCAUAUCGGUCCAGUACCUAUCAUUUCCUUCCUUGUACUACCACAUGUUUUCCGCAAGGAAUAUGGUUUAGUAAGUUGCAAACCACUUUCAUGGUACACACCAAAGAGGAGAGGCCGUGAUGAUGGUUCCAUGGCCCUGGAUUAAAGCCAGUCAUCCGGUCAGGGGGCAUGGGUGUUUCCGGUUGGGACCGAGAGGGGGGCACCCCUUAGAGCGCGCGUAUAUAAAUUUGAUCCCAUGCUAUUCGAGAUUGUGAUCUCCCCGUCUCAAAAGUUUUUCUUGGACGAUGACUAGGGUGAUUCCUAGCAUCGAGAGGUAGGAUGGGUGUGUACCGGUUAGCUGUGUUUUCUUCCGAAAUACCAUAAACGGAACAAGUCCUUCGUGACUACGGAAAUCCGUUGACUGUGGGAAAAAUUUUGUACAAACUCUGCAGAGUCAUAUAUUCCUCCAAAUCAUCUCUUCCAUGUCAAGUUUCGUUCCAUCUUAUCCUAAUAAAUUGUCAGCUUUGAUGACAGAGACUCCGGUGGAUCGCAUGAGUGCUAAGUUCGAUUGAAUGAUUAUCCCUGUGGAUGGACUAACCCGUUUUUUCUCAUGGAUUGAAUGUUUAUUAUGAGUAUUGUUUACUGGUGAAUUUUAAAGCCCUUUCUGCGAUGUCGCUCAGACGUCCGACUGUGGCAUUUCAUUUAAAGCCCUUUCUGCGAUGUCGCUCAGACGUCCGACUGUGGCAUUUCUUUUAAAGCCCUUUCUGCGAUGUCGCUCAGACGUCCGACUGUGGCAUUUCUUUUAAAGCCCUUUCUGCGAUGUCGCUCAGACAUCCGACCGUGGCAUUUCUUUUAAAGCCCUUUAUGUGGUGUCGCUAAGAUGCCCGACUGUGGCAUCAUUCACCUUUCGAGGCGUCGCUUCAGACACCCGAUCGGUCUUUAUUUAUGCUCUGUGGGAUUUCAGGCGGACUACCGCCGUUUCCCUUUUUACUUACCCCGUUAUGCAAAUUUUUAUUUAUUGUGCAUUAAGGAAUUAAUCAUGUUGCAUCCAUGCACGCAUUUGUUAUAUCUUAUGUCCGAACUGUCUUGCGAGUACUUUCAAAGUACUCACUGGCUUGUUGAUUUGGCCAGAUGCUGACGAAGGCGAUCUCAUGGAUGAAGAGUUCGAUAGCGAGUCCGACACUUAGAGGAGUCCUAGUCAGUCUCGUGCGACCCUGGAUUUGGUCACUGUUUUAUAUCUGCUUCCGCUACCAAAUAAAUUUAUCGAGCCUCACCUCGAUGUUCGAUGAAAUGAUAUUCUUAGAGUCUUGUAUUUCCCUUCCCGCUGUGCUUUUCCACCACCAACCUAUCCAUGAGUCAGUAGUAUGUCUCCACACCACUGUGUCCUGUCCGCCAUUAUGUAUGAUUAUUGGCGUGCUUGUAAUAAUUUGGUUGAGCGACCGCUGUUCAACCCUGCAAUAUAUUUUACGCUACUGGCUUAUUGUAUCAAGAAAUUGUCUACCAGUGAGGAGGAUUUCUCUCAUACUGGACUCAAAAGACUGGUUUAUCAAUAAAUAUUUUUAUUGGAAAACCGGUCGUGACAAUAUAACACUUACUGCAAUGCAUAUAAACAUGCCAUGAACUAACUACUCAUUGCAAACAUGCAAAACACUCAUCAUAUCAAAGGUUCAAACAUGCUUGCCUGGUUCGAAGUAGUUGGAGUCUAGCUCGGUGAAGUUCGCGGUUCCGUCACCUCCUCCGGUAUCUACGGUAUAAAGAAAAUACGCACUAACGUAAAUACCGUGUGUGCACAAAACGUGUUCCAAAUAUUUUUCAAAUAAAUCAGAUAAAAAAACUAGACAGAAAAAUAAAGAUGACAGAAAAAGAAUCAAUCAAAAAUCAUUUUCAGUUUAGGAGUUAUUAAAGUUUUGGCCCAGGGACUUGUCUGUAAUGAAACAGAAAGUUUCCAGGGGCUAGCUUAUAAAAACAGAAAAUGAUUCGAUGAAAACCCGCCAACUCCAAAGGAAAAACGUAUCCUGCCCGAAGGCGUUUCCAGAAAACGGUUCGAAUAUAAAAGAGAGGCUGACGAGGGGGUCCCACUCGUCAAGUUUAAAAGUUCGAGAGAGAAAACAGAGUGCGUCGGUGCCCGAAGCUUGCGAUGGUCGCCGACGACGAUCCACGGUGAGUUAGGAGGAGCGGAGGGUACCUACGGACUCAGGGUGCUCUUCCGCGUCUGUGGGUGGCGGAGUUGGUCAUUGGAGAGCCCCACGUCGACGGCGGCCUUCACUCCAGCGGACGGCGACUCGGGCGUCGAUGGAUCUCGCCGGGAAGGGCUGCAAGUUUCAAAUUGGGGCGUGGGUUAGUGGAGUGGGUGCACUAGGAUGCCACUGGUACAACGUGAGAGGUGGGGGUGGACGCACUCGAGCUAACCUUGCCGGAGCCCGAAGCGGAUCGGGGCGGCCGGAGUCGGAGGAGAAGGCCCUUUACGUUGGCCUGUAGCUGAAGUAGUAUGCUGUAGGUAGACAUUCAUUGGGCUGGUCCAUUUACGUUGGCAUGCUUCGUGUGUGUCCAUUCUGUAUGCUUCUUUUUUAAUCCCAUGUAGGUUUAUUUACUCUUUUAGGUUCCUACUUUAGUGACCAUGGAUCUUUAGGUUUUUUCAAUUUAAUGGAAUUGGGUCCUACAUGAUUUUUUGCCUAUUUUAAUGUAUGUAUUUGCCUAACAUAGUUUACAAAAUCUUUAGUUAGAGGUAACCCAUCUUUGGUUACAUAUCUCACAAUCAGAUAAGAACAUUGUGCCAGAUCAGCUAACUUUCAGAUGUUGCCUGUAACCAAAGAUUGGUUACCUCUAGAUGGAUAGAUUCAUUUGAUUGGGUGACCUGAAUUUAUGAUGCCCUUUUUAUACUACAGAAGAUGCACCAGGCAUCUAUUUUUUGUCAUGAAAAAUGCAUAGGACCAUUUGCCUUGUAUUGUUACCCACUUUGGAAGAGUAACCUAUUGUUGUGUGUCGAGUGAUGGCGAUGAAUCAGCUAACUUCUGUAAAGUACAUACAAAGAUGUACUAUAUAUGUGCAAAGUAUCGAUUCAGUACACCGAACCCAAAUGCCAAGCAAGCACAAAGAUGUCAAAAGCAGUUAAAAUAAUCGUAAACAAUCUGGAAACAUAUAGCUUUGAAUAGACAUUUAUUAUUUUUUUGAAGAGUUCAGUCCAUGCAUGUUUUUUGCCAUCUAAUUUUAUGUUCUGGGCUUAAAUCAGAUAGAGGCUUUAAGAAUAUCCAGUUUAAAUAAUGACAGUCUUAAUUUGGAUAAAUAAAAUAACAAGAGCUUCAGACUAAUGUGGAAAAAUUGGUCAAAAUAUAAAAUUUUGGUUCCUCUCAGUUUAGUUGGUGGCCUAUAUGAAUUCCAUUUGGCCCACAAUAUUUUUGUACAGUUAUUGAUUUGCUAGGGUAAAUUCUAAACUUAAUUUUGUUAGCUUCUAUCAGGUGUUCUUUCUUAUAAUAUUUUUUAUAUGUCGCAAGCUUACUCUCUUGAUGAGAGUUACUCCAUGUUUAUGAAGAAAAGAUUUGGGUUCAGAGCACCUUCGGUCAUAAGAAUUUGUUUUCUAAUUCUUGCUGGUCAGUCACAAAGCAUUAAUUUUUGUUUGCUUUACAAUUUUUUCAGGAGCAAUGGGAAAUGAUGAGCUCCUGCUUCUUUUUAUGUCGGUUUAGGAGUGUAGGAAGCGGUUCCUCGCCGGUUGGACGUUGUUCAACCGCAACUCUGGCACCCACUGAGUACUUCCUCGGCUACAACCUCCUUCGGUGAGCUGUAUCUUCCUCCUUCUCCUCUGCUUCAGCUACUGUAUGGGACAUAGCCAGGGCUAUGAUGAUCGGUUAUGGCCGAUAUAAGCAUGCUCUCGAGCAAUCGAGGCAUGUGUGGGUAUUAAGUUGGAUCCCCCUUUGUUUCUUUGAGCCGUUUCGAUCAUGUUCUUAUUUUAGUGGCUCUGUCCUUGGAUGGUCAUUUCUGAUGAGUGAUAACCAGGGCAGUUUCACCCUUUUAAGAACAUAUCCAUCGUGAAAUAAGUCACUAAGCAUUAAUUUUUGUUUGCUUUACAAUUUUUCCAGAAGCAAUGGGAAAUGAUGAGCUCCUGCUUCUUUUUAUGUCGGUUUAGGAGUGUAGGAAGCGGUUCCUCGCCGGUUGGACGUCAUUCAACCGCAACUCUGGCACCCACUGAGAACUUCCUCGGCUACAACCUCCUUCGGUGAGCUGCAUCUUCCUCCUGCUCCUCUCCAUCGGCUACUGUAUGGGACAUAGCCAGGGCUAUGAUGAUCGGUUAUGGCUGAUAUAAGCAUGCUCUCGAGCAAUCAAGGCACGUGUGGGUAUUAAGUUGGAUCCCCCUUCGUUUCUUUGAGCCAUUUUGAUCAUGUUCUUAUUUUAGUGGCUCUGUCCUUGGAUGGUCAUUUCUGAUGAGUGAUAACCAGGGCAGUUUCACCCUUGUAAGAACAUAUCCAUCGAGAAAUAAGGGAGACGGUCACUCCCGGGCGCUCUCAGCGAUUCGGCAUUCCUGGCCGUUGGAUCUUUUGCUUGAUGUGAUUUCGGCCGUCAGAUCUCGCCUCAGGAUGACACAGCCGUCGGAUCGACCCGGUGUACCUGUAGCAAUGAAUAGUUAAUGCCUCCACACGCUGCCGCUUACUUCGCCUAUUCGACCUAGACUCGCUGACCUGUGGGGCUGCUCGCGGGUGGGCCGCGUCCGUCAACGACCAUGUGAGCGGGCAUGGCAUGUGCGUCCAGUCACGUGCCCCACCGGCCGGAGGCCAUUCUUGCUAGGGCAAUGAUGAUUAACCAUGGCUGAAAUAAAUGUGCCUUUGAGCAAUCGAGACACCUGUGGGUAUCAAGUUGGAUCCUCCCUCUUGUCUCUAGAAUCCUUUUUGAUCUUGUGAUACUUAUUGUUCUGUCCUUGGAUGGUCAUUCUUGUUGAGUGAUAACCAGGGCAGCUCCACACUAAAAACAGAUUGAUCCGGUGAUAAGAGAUGACGGGGGUGGGUCACAUGAUCGAGAAAAGGUGAAUCUGAGCCCAUCAUGCAUUGAACCCCGAAUCCUUUUUAUUUGUAGUUAAAGGUGUAGCUUAUUUGUGCCCCCAUCGGUCGGAAGCCAUUCUUGCUAGGGCGAUGAUGAUUAGCCGUGGCUGAAAUAAGUGUGCCUUUGAGCAAUCGAGGCACCUGUGGGUAUCAAGUUGGAUCCUCCCUCUUGUCUCUAGAAUCCUUUUUGAUCCUGUGAUACUUAUUGUUCUGUCCUUGGAUGGUCGUUCUUGUUGAAUGAUAACCAGGGCAGCUCCACUGGAUAAACAGAUUGAUCUGGUGAAAGAGAUGAUGGGGGUAGAUUAUAUGAUCGAGGAAAGGCGAAUCUGGGCCCACUAUGCAUUGAACCCUGAACCCUUUUUAUUUGUAUUUAGAGGUGUUGCUUAUUUAUGCUCCAGUGUUUAUAGCCGUCUUAUGUAAAGAAAUCUCCCUUGUAUUUCCUCUUAUGGACGGCCCCCUCGCUAGCUCCUUGAUGUUUGUCCUACCCCAGUAAGAUCUAUGACAUGUUCAUGGCGUUGAUGUGGAGAAGCUCAACGACAAUGGAAUAUCCCUCUCCAUUUUGACAUCAGACAAGGUGGUAUUAAUCUUUUAUGUGUAAGUAUCUACUGCACAUACUGUCUUUCCUAGGCGUUCUUCUUUUCCAUCUGUACUACCUCACCUACUGUCAAAUGUUUGUGCUGGGUUGCUGACUUUUUUGCUGUGGAGUUUGCUUAUUUUGGGUUCUUCAUUGUGUUGGUAGGAUGUUUGCCGUGAGUUGUUCCUUUGGCACUAUCUGUAGGAAGCAGAGCCAAGCGAGGUUCUUAUAUCUGAGCAUAUUAAUCUCAUGCAUUAGUUUGUAAGCUAUGGGGUUGCAGGCUUAAACUCAAAAUUGUCUUGCAAUGUAUUAGAUUGUACCCUGGAACCUAGGCACAACCAUCUAUAUACAUUGUUCUAUCUUGUAGAUUGGGAUCCCCGUCAGUUGCUUCCCCUUUUUUGUUUCCAGUUAUGUCAUCUUUGCAAAUUUAUGUUGUGCAUGUACACACGUUUUUUGGACAACUGCAUGAGAGAAAGCUUACAAGUAGAUGAGUUACAGAUCUUCCAUGAAUCCUAUUGUCCUUGCAGACCUACAACAACAAACUUUCGAUUACGUAUAUGCUUAUUGUUUGUUCAGUUGGCAUACUUCAGAUUGCAUUGGUUAGGUUAUAGUCCAUGUGUGUAGGUCUGGAUAGCAUAGGCUUCUGUUGAGAGCACUUUGAUCAGGUGGCACUGCACACCUCAAAUCACCACAAGUUUGUUCUUCACCUAUACAGUACAGUCACAGUCACCCGCCCAGAACUUGAAAUUGGAACCAGAGAGCAGUAAUUUCUUAGGGAGCUAGCUCAAUGUUGUAUAAAAGGAGAUUUAUGAGAUUUUAGUCUUGAAAAUUUUAUGGUAUUUUGUCUUCCAGGUUCCUCUAUAUCUGCUGCAAGGCUUGGAUUACCAUAUAAGGCCGAAUUCAGCACAUAAGAAAGCAGAACAAAUCAUUGAUAGUGUCACGGUUUGAUCCAGCUCGAUGGCGAGCUCCUCUGCCCUCCCUAAGCCCGGUGAUGAUUUGUACGGUCAGUCUUCCCUGCACGGUGGUGGGCGAAGGAGGUGUACGUCUCUGCAAGUUUGUUGUGCCUCCCUCAGGUUCCGUGAUGGCCGACGGCGAGGUGCCCACCGGUGAGCUUUUUUUCCUUGGUUGCCUUUCUAUUAUUGUGAUUCGGUUUGUGAUGCUCUGCUGCUCAUCUAGGUUGAUGGUGGAGCUGCGAUCCAAAGUUGGAGCGUGCCCUUUCGUUGGUGCCGUCAUUCUCUCCUCCACGACCGUCGUUGUUACGAGCCUAAGUAGCUUGGUUGGGUAUCGACGGCGUUGGUGGACCUAAUAGGUCCGUCUCUUUCUCUAAAAAGAAAAGCACAACGAGUUAUCUAUAUUUUGUCUGUAUGUGGUUCUAUACUUUUUUCUGCUAAUUUCUAAGUGAUUUUUAACCCAUUGUGAUACUAAAAACCUGAUAAAGAAUAUAUUUUAUGACUGAAUGUUUGAUGUGGGGCUGGAAGAAUUAUAGUUUUGUUUUGUACAUAAAUCUUCUAUGUAGUCAUGGUACUAAAUGUCCUAACAUAUACCCGUAUGUUCUGUUUAUCUCCUACAAAUAGUGAAAUGGUCUAUAUGUAAAGUGUUUAUGUUUAGUUAUAUUAUGUUGUCGACGAUGCGUGGUUCUGGAACAUGGAGAUUAACAUUGAAGCUUUUGGUAUCUUGAAUUCUUAUGCUUUGUUAUUAACUUGAUGUGAUCCAGUUUUUUCUACUUGGCAUUGCCACUGACUUGCUUUCAGUGUCGUAUAACUAAACUCUUUUGGCUGAACUGGACGCAGAUUAAUUGUCCUGCCUUGCUUUUGGAACAAAUUAAAUGUAUCUUCUUUUUCAUGAGCCUGCAGAUCAAUUAUUCUAUAGAUACUAAUACACUCAUUAGUUUCAAACAAGUACUGUAAUUUCUGAUGUACCAAAUGAUUUACGGUAUAGUGAAAUCUUACACGCUGGACCAAUUCAAUGUUUCUUCUUUCUCUUAAACCAGAAAAAAUUGUUGUCUUGUUGAAUACGUAUGCUAAACCAUGUUUCCUACUAACGCAUCAUAUCUUUUGAUCAUUACCUUCUUGACCACAUCGUUGGGACAUGCACAGGUUCAUGUGAAGUGGUGCCUAUGAAGAUCAUCGACAAGGCAGUUGAGUGGAGUCACUUAUUAGUAUGAAGUGGCGCUUAUGAAGUUGAUCGACAAGGCAGUUGAGUGAAGCCACUUAUUAGUAUGCUUAGUAGUUAUGGCUUUGUAGUUGUCUCUCCUUUGUCACGCUUGUGGUAUCGAACUUCCAUGUCGAGUGGCUGCAUUUUUGGUGUCGAACUUCGUGUCAGGUGGCUAUCUUUUGUGGUCUUAUGAACGCACUGAAACCAAUUCUACCUUAUAAUCUCAAGCCGACGCUGAGCCCAUGCCUUGCUUCUAUAAUAGUUGAAUGUUUCUUCUUCACUUUAUUGUUAUUAUGUAUGAAUGCAUAUGCUAAAUUUGGGUUACUACUGACUUAGCAUUACAUGCCUGAUCAAAACGUUGGGACCGGCACCCCCGCGCCAAGGCGCGAUCCUGGUCUAGUGGAUGAUAUAGUCGAAUGAAUGAAUGCCUCCAGUAGGCAACACCUGCUCACACACUUGCUCAAUGCAGAACUCUAGUAUCCUAUUGACAACCAACGCUUUUAAUCCAAUGAGCUAUUGGCGGGUGCGCCAUCUACCUCUGCGUCGGUGCCCUAGGCGCCAUCACCUCCAUGGCCUCCUCUUCUUCCUCUGCCAGGUCACCAAGAACUGGAUCAAUCCUACUACGGUUUGUAGCAGCUGACUAUUGGCUGAGUGAUACGUCUCCAACGUAUCUAUAAUUUUUUAUUGUUCCAUACUGUUAUAUUAUCAUUCUUAGAUGUUUUACAAUCAUUUUAUAGCAACUUUAUAUUAUUUUUUGGGACUAACCUAUUGACAUAGUGCCGAGUGCCAGUUGCUAUUUUUGCUUGUUUUUUACUUCAUAGAAAAUCAAUACCAAACGGAGUCCAAACGCAGCGAAACUUUUUGAUGAUUUUUUCUGGACCAGAAGACACCUGUUGGGCCAAAGAAGUAUCAGAGGGGGCUUCGAAGGAAGCACAACCCACCUGNNNNNNNNNNNNNNNNNNNNNNNNNNNNNNNNNNNNNNNNNNNNNNNNNNNNNNNNNNNNNNNNNNNNNNNNNNNNNNNNNNNNNNNNNNNNNNNNNNNNNNNNNNNNNNNNNNNNNNNNNNNNNNNNNNNNNNNNNNNNNNNNNNNNNNNNNNNNNNNNNNNNNNNNNNNNNNNNNNNNNNNNNNNNNNNNNNNNNNNNNNNNNNNNNNNNNNNNNNNNNNNNNNNNNNNNNNNNNNNNNNNNNNNNNNNNNNNNNNNNNNNNNNNNNNNNNNNNNNNNNNNNNAGUUAGUAGCUAGAUGGCUUCCUCUCUCUCUUUUCAUUCUCAAUACAAUGGUCUCUUGGAGAUCUAUUUGAUGUAACUCUUUUUUGCUGUGUGUUUGUUGGGAUCCGAUGAACUUUGAGUUUAUGAUCAGAUCUAUGUUUUUAUCCAUGAAAGUUGUUUGAAUCUUUUGAUCUCUUAUAUGCAUGAUUAAUUAUAACCUCGUAUUUCUUCUUCAAAUCUUUGGUUUAGUUAGGCUGACUAGAUCGAUUUUUCUUGCCAUGGGAAGAGGUGCUUUGUGAUGGGUUUGAUCUUACGAUGCUCAGUCCCAGUGACAGAAGGGGAAAUGACACGUAUGUAUCAUUGCUAUUAAGGAUAAAAAGAUGGGGUCUAUUCCUACAUGAAUAGAUAUUGUCUACAUCACGUCAUCGUUCUUAUUGCAUUACUCCGUUUUUCCAUGAACUUAAUACACUAGAUGCAUGCUGGAUAGCGGUCGAUGUGUGGAGUAAUAGUAGUAGAUGCAGGCAGGAGUCGGUCUACUAAUCUUGGACGUGAUGCCUAUAUAAUGAUCAUUGCCUGGAUAUCAUCAUAAUUAUUUGUAGUUCUAUCAAUUGCCCAAAAGUAAAUUGUUUUCCCACUGUAUACUAUUUUUCUCGAGAGAAGCCACUAGUGAAAUCUAUGGCACCCGGGUCUAUUUUCUCAUCAUAUAUUUUCAGAUCUAUUUUGCUAUUUGCCUUUUCGUUUAUUUGCCGCUUUUAUUUUCAGAUCUGUAUUAUCAAAAACCCAAAAAUACCUCGCUGAAUUUUAUUUGCAUCUAUCAAUCUACUACAAUUUUAUCACGUCCACUUGACAAUUUUUGGCACCGUUACCCGAAAGGGAUUAACAACCCCUUUAACACGUCGGGUUGCAAGUAUUUGUUCUUUGUGUGUAGGUACCAUUUACAUAGUGUUGUCUGGUUCUCCAACUAGUUCGAUAACCUUGAUCUCAUCACUGAGGGAAAUACUUACCGUUGUUGUGAUGCAUCAUCCCUUCCUCUUUGGGGAAAUAUCGACGUAGUUCAAGCCGCAUCACUGAGUAAACUAGGUAGUGGAUGGGACUGCUGGGAGGGGUGGAGGUUUUAUUAACAACGCUUGGGUGGCUGGGGUAGCUUUUGGGUUUUAAUACAGGACCAAACUAAACAACCCAAGUAUACAACCCAUUUGGCUAUAUACCAACUCAUAACUCAACACAUCACAACAUUACAAAAUCAGUAAAUCAUACAUGCCAUCAGAAAAUUACUAAAGCAAAUUAUAUGCAUCAAAAUAUCGCACAACAACCCAUACAUUGCAUCGGUUGAUCACACCAACCCAUACAUAGAAGUAGGUGGUUCAAUAGUGGUAGCAUAAGAAGUCCAGUAACAUACAAUUCAUAAAUGUACCUAAGAUCACGCAGUUCAUAACUUAAGGUAGCAAACCUUAACUAAAGCAUGGAGGUCCUUACAGGUAACAACACAGCAUAACUUACCAGUUCUAAUAGCAUAUCACCAAAUAUACACCUCCCACCAUGAUUGCUUGCAUCUGCGUUGGUAUUUCCUUGAAGAGGAGAGGAUGAUGCAGCACAACAACGAUAAGUAUUUCCCUCAGUUAUGAAACCAAGGUAUCAAUCCAGUAGGAGGAUCCACCAAACUAUGUACGCACUACCUUCGCACAAAUGAGAAAAACUUGCAACCCUACGCGUAAGAGGGGUUGUCAAUCCCUCCUCGGUAUUGAGAUAGAUUAAAUUGUAUGAGAUUGGAUAAAUAGAUCUAACAAAAACACAAAAUAAAAUAGGUAAAGAAAAGUGCAGCAAGGUAUUUUUGGAUUUUUUUAAUUAAUAGAUCUAAAAACGAUAUGAUAGAAAAUAGACCCGGGGGCCAUAGAUUUCAGUAGAGGCUUCUCUCGAGAAAUUAGCAUGCGAUGGGUAAACAAAUCACUGUUGGGCAGUUGAUAGAAAAGUAAAUAAUUAUGAAAAUAUCCAAGGCAAUGUUCAUGUAUAUAGGCACACAUCCAAGAUUAGUAGACCGACUCCUGCCUGCAUCUACUACUAUUAACCCCACACAUCGACCGAUAUCCAGCAUGCAUCUAGUGUAUUAAGUUCAUGGGAAAAUGGAGUAAUACAAUAAGAACGAUGGUAUGAUGUAGACAGGAUCUAUUCAUGUAGGAAUAGACCCCAUCUUUCUAUCCUUAAUGGCAACGAUACAUGUGUGUCAUGUCUCUUUCUGUCACUGAGGUUGAGCACCGCAAGAUCGAACCCAUCACAAAGCACAUCUUCCCAUGGCAAGAAAAAUCAAUCUAGUUGGCCAAACCAAACGAAAGUUUCGGGAGAGGAAUACAAGGCUAUAACAAUCAUGCAUAUAAUAGUUCAACAAAGACUCGAAUAUAUUCAUAGAUAGAUCUGAUCAUAAACUCAAAAUUCAUCAGAUCCCAACAAACACACCGUAAAAAAGAGUUACAUCAAAUAGAUCUCCAAGAACAUCAAGGAACAUUGUAUUGAAGAUUAAAAAGAGAGAAGAAUUCAUCUAGCUACUGUCUAUGGACCCGUAGAUCUGUGGUAAAAUACUCACGCAUCAUCGGAGGGGCAAGGGUGAUGAUUAAGAACCCCUCCGGCAAGGUGUCAAAAAAUGCCUCUAGAUUAGAUAUCGUGGUUCUAGAACUUGCGGAGGUGGAAACUCUGAUUUCUCGACUCCCCAGGGUUUCUGGAAUAUUUGGGUAUUUAUAUAGCUAAGAGGCGGUGGAGGAGACACUCGUGGGCCCCACUACCCACCAGUGCGCGCUAAGGGUCUCUGGUUCACCCUGGUGCCUAGCGGGCCCCACGGGCUUCCUCUGGUGCAACUCUUAGGCCUCCUGAGUGUCUUCUAGGCAGAAAAAUAUCUCCAAAAAGUUUCGCUGCAUUUGGACUCCGUUUCAUAUGGAUAUUCUGCGUAGUAAAAUACAAGCAAAAAAUGUCAAUUGGCACUGGCACUAUGUCAAUAGGUUAGUCCCAAAAAAUGAUAGAAAGUUGCUAUAAAAUGAAUAUAAAACAUCCCGAUAGUAUAACAUCAUGGAACAAUAAAAAAUUAUAGAUACAUUGGUGACGUAUCAGCAACCCCAAGCUUAGUUCCUGCUCGUCCUCGCGUAGGUAAAUGAUAAAAACAGAAUUUUUCAUGUGGAAUGCUGCCUAACAUGUUCUUCUCUUAUAUUUUUUUUCUUUUGUAGCAUGGACAUUUGGACUUUUAGAUGAUUCAAAUCAAUAGUCUAUAUUUGACAUGAGGACAUCAAUACUCAAGCAUAUAAACAAGCAACCAUAUCUUUCAAAAUAUCAACACUAAAGAAAGCUAUCCCUAACCCAUUAUGCUCAAUCAUUGAUCCAUUCAUGAAGCACAUUCAAAUAUUAACUAUGCCCAAUGCACAAGUAUGACAAUAGUGUUCCCUAGUUGGUGAUUUAUAAGAGAAGAUGGAGACUCAAUAAAAAUCAAAAUUGCAUAAAUUAAAUGUCACGACCGGUUUUUCAAAAAAAAACUUAUUGAGAAACCGACCUUUAUAUAGACCAGUAUAGGAAAAUCCUCCUUACUGGUAGACAAAUCCUUGAUACUGAAAUCCAGUAGUACUAAAUAUUAUACAGGGUUGAGCUGAGGUAGCUCAACAAUUUAUUACAAGCACGCCAAUAUUAUACAUAAGGGCGGAUAUGACACAAGGGUGUGGUGGCAUACUACUGACUCGUAAUAAAAGUGGUGGUGGAUAUGUCACAGUGAAGCGGAUGACAUGACUCCUAAUCCUGCAACUCAUCGAGCGUCGAAGUGAGGCUCGAUGAUUUUAUUUGGGUACCGGAAGCGUAUGUCAUACAAGUGACCAAAUCCAGGAUCGCACGGGACUGACUGGCACUCCUCUAGGCGUCGGACUCGCUAUCGUACUCUUCAUGCAUGAGAUCGCCUUCGUCAACAUCUGGCCAAAUCAACAAGCCAGGUGAGUACUUUGAAUGUACUCGCAAGACAGUUCGGACAUAAGAUAUAACAAAUGUAACAUGAUGCACAGGAGCGGUUAGCAAUGCACACUCAAAUAUAAAAUUUGCACGACAUGUUAAAUAAAUAGGAAGCCAGGCGGUAGUCCUCCCGAAAUCCCAACAAAAUAACUGAGAACCGAUCGGGUGUCUGAAGCGACGCCUCGAAAGGUAAAAAUAAAUUAACAUGCCGCAGUCGGGCGUCUGAGCGACACCACAUAAAGGGCUUAUAUUGAAAUGUAAAUGACAGUGCGUGCCACAGUCGGACGUCUACGCGACAUCUCAGAAAGGGCUUAUAAUGAAAAUAAAUAACAAUGAUGCCAUAGUCGGACGUCUACGCGACAUCUCGGAAAGGGCUUAUAAUGAAAAUAAAUAACAGUGAUGCCACAGUCGGACGUCUACACGACAUCUCGGAAAGGGCUUAUAAUGAAAAUAAAUUUCAGUGAUGCCACAGUCGGACGUCUGAGCGACAUCACAGAAAGGGCUUAUAUUUCGUCAUUCAUAUUCAAUAAAUUCAUGAAGAUAAUUCACUCAAAGGAAAUACUCAGUACAUAAUAAUAAAAGGGUUAUUCCAUCCACAGGAGAAUUAUUUAGCCGGGCUUAACACUCAUGUUUGUUCACCGGAGAUUUGUCACUUGAGGCUGACACUGAGACUGACAAAGAUAAGUUGAACACAGUCCUUGACCAUAGACAAGGUUACUCGAAUGAUUUUGACUCUGCAGAGUUUGCACUAUUUAACCAUAGCCAACGGAUUUCAGUAGUCACGAAGGACUAGUUCCGUUUACGGUAUUUCGAUAGAAACACAUCUAACCAUUACACACCCAUUCCACCUCACGAUGCCAGGAAUCACCCUAGGCAACGUUCAAGAAAAACUUUGAGACGGGGAGGCCAAAACCUCAAAUAGCAUGGGAUCAAAUUUAUAUUCGCGCGCUCUAAGGGGUGCCCCCCUCUCGGUCCCAACCAGAAACACCCAUGCCCCCUGACCAGAUGACUGGCUUUUAAUCCAGGGCCAUGGAACCCUCAUCACGGCCUCUCUAUUUGGUGUGUACGAGGCAAGAGGUUUGCAACUUACUAAACCAUAUUCUUUGCAGAAAACAUGUGGUAGCACAAAAAGAAAUGGAUGGUAACGUGACUUGAUCCACGUUGACACUAGAGUUAAAUGGUUUGGCAUAAGACUGGCAUGCUUCAACACUGCCAUCUUACCACCUCUCAUGUCACCACCUGAUCACGUAAACUCACAUAAAAUAACAUAUGGAGUUUCGAAGCUAACUUGCAUUAGCUUUGCAUGCAAUAUAACACUUACUGCAAUGCAUAUAAACAUGCCAUGAACUAACUACUCAAUGCAAACAUGCAAAACACUCAUCAUAUCAAAGGUUCAAACAUGCUUGCCUGGUUCGAAGUAGUCGGAGUCUAGAUCGGUGAAGUUCAUGGUUCCAUCACCUCCUCCGGUAUCUACGGUAUAAAGAAAAUACGCACUAACGUAAAUACCGUGUGUGCACAAAAAGUGUUCCAAAUAUGUCACAGCCCUAGAAUUUGCUUGUCAUUAGUUGCAUUAAGGCAUUCAUGCAUCAUGUUUAAAAUUCAUGAAACUUGAAAUGGGGAUGACAAACCCUAGCACUUGAUAAAAUGCAAUUAGGAUCAAAAUAAAAAUAUUUUCAAUAAACCCAGAAUGCCCUUUAGAAAAGUUCAUUAUUUUUGUUAAAGGUGAAAACCCCUGCCAUCAAUGAUGCACAUAUUUCUAGGCCAUUCUGGAUUUUUGAAUUAAAUCCUAUUGUAUUUGACCUUGGGCAUUUAAAUACUAUAAAUAAUUUAAAUGUUCAAAUAAAUGUUGGAAAUUGUUAAGGGUCACUGAAAUAAUUCAGAAAGCACCCAUAAUUGUUUCCAGGAUUUUAUAAAAUGAUUUGAUAUUUUAAAUCAAAUCAAAACAAACUACAGAAAAUAGAAAACAGAAUUAAAUAGAAAUAAGAGAGAGAGAGAAGGACUUAUCUGGCGCUCACCCGGUAGCCAGCCGGCCCAGCUCCUGUGCGGCCCAGCCCAUCUCCACUCCCCCCCCCCUGUCGUCUUCCUCCUCGCCAGAAGGACCGAGGCGUGGCGCGCGCGCCCGAGAGCCCCGGCCACCUCCUGCUUACCUGCUCGCCGCUGGAGGCACCUAAGGGUGCCACGCACUCCCCUCGACCCUCUCCUACUCUCCCCGUGCCCCUCUCGCUCUCCCUCGCCCUCAUCCUCUCCCCCUCCUCUGUCCUCCUCACCCGAACGGAGCCGCCGCCACCGACGAGAACCACCGUGGCCACCGGCCACCCCACGCCUCACCGACGCCCCAGGAAGCUCUGCCUCGACCUACUCAUCCUCCCCACCACUCCAAGCAACACAAGGAGCCCUGCAGUGACGCCAUCGCCGCCAUCCUCACCGACGGGCAUCGAAGAUCGCCGGCCCGAUUCUCCGUCUCCAGGUCGCCCCCGAGCCCACUGAGACGCGCUCUGCAACCACAGUGAGCUCAUGGACCGAUUCCCCCUCCUCUCCUGCUCGCGUUCUUGCUCUAGCCCCGUUCCCCACCUCCGCCGAAGCUCGCCGCCGCCACGGCCGACGAGCUCCAUGCUCCUGAGCUCGUCCGCUCGCCCGAGCAUCACCAGCGUGCUCGCCGCGCUCCUGUGAACCUGCAGCACCCACGGGUUAUCCCUGUUGUGCACCGUAGCACCGUUUCCGCCAACGCCCGAGGUCCGGCAGCCGCUGAGCUCGACGCCGGCGAGGAUUACGGCCACCCCAGCUCGCCCCGGUUGCGCUGUUGGAUGCGCGGGAUCGCCAGCUUCCCGUAGAGCCCAGCGGCGCCUCGAAUGGCUCCCUGUAUCGCAAUUCCGAGCCGCCCCNNNNNNNNNNNNNNNNNNNNNNNNNNNNNNNNNNNNNNNNNNNNNNNNNNNNNNNNNNNNNNNNNNNNNNNNNNNNNNNNNNNNNNNNNNNNNNNNNNNNNNNNNNNNNNNNNNNNNNNNNNNNNNNNNNNNNNNNNNNNNNNNNNNNNNNNNNNNNNNNNNNNNNNNNNNNNNNNNNNNNNNNNNNNNNNNNNNNNNNNNNNNNNNNNNNNNNNNNNNNNNNNNNNNNNNNNNNNNNNNNNNNNNNNNNNNNNNNNNNNNNNNNNNNNNNNNNNNNNNNNNNNNNNNNNNNNNNNNNNCCCCCCCCCCCUGACGUGUGGGCCCAGGCGCCUGCUUAAUUAGUGUUAGGUUAGUUAGUGUUAAUUAACUUAGUUAAUUAGGUGAGCCACUGACAUGCGGGCCCCGCCCGUCUAACUAAGUUAGUUAGGGCUAAUCAUAUUUAGGUUAGUCACUGACCAGUGGGCCCAAUCCAGUUAGUUAGGGCUAACUAACUUGGUUAGUUGACUGGGUCACUGACCAGUGGGUCCCACUGGUCAGGUUUGACCUGGUCGACGCCUUUGACCUGCUGACGUCACCCCGGCAUCAUGCUGACGCAGUAUAUGCUUCUGGGAUUUUAAAUAAGUCAGAAAUGAUUUAUUUAUUUUCAGAAUAUGCCCUAAACUUCAAUAAAUCAUAGAAAAUUAACCGUAACUCCAAAUGAAAUAAAUUAUAUAUGAAAAAUUAUCAGAAAAAUUCAAGGAAUCCAUCUGUACCAUUUUCAUGCAUGUUAGAACAACUUAUAGAUGCUUUUUAGCACAAAUCAUAUAAAGGGCAUUUAAAUAAUCACAUAUGGAGUUUGAAUUUGAAUCUUGUAUUCAAACCAACUUCAUUUAAAUUGUUGCUAGAUGCAUUAGCCCAAAACACAUUCAUCUUGCCAUGUCAUGAGCAUGCAUCAUAUUGUGCAUUGCAUUGAUUGUAUUUCUUCUUUGUUGCCGGUAUCUGUUCCCCCCGGUAGACGAUGUUCCGACGUUGUGAUCGUUGACACUAAUGAAGACUCAAUGUUAUCUUCAGAAGUGCCAGGCAAGCAAAACACCCUUGUUCAUUCCGAUAAAAUCCCACUCUCUCGCUCCUGCUCUCUUUUAAUGCAUUAGGACAACAACGAUUCAACUGUUACUUGCUGUGGUAGCUGAACCCCUUUAUCCUUUGCAUGACCUGUCAUUGCCACAGUAAAUAGAUGAAACCCACUAGCAUGAGUAGGAGUUGUUUGAGCCCUGUUGUGCCUACUCAUUCUUGCUUGUUUGUCAUGCCUGCUACUGCUUAGAGUUGUGUCAGGUCUGAUUUAUCCGGGAUGAAUCAGAGGUGUGUGAACAUGUCCUACUGUGUGUGAGCUAAGUGUGUGAACACGAUUUGGUAAAAGGUGUCGGUGAGAGGCCAUGUAGGAGUACAUGGUGGGUUGUCUCAUUGAAGCCGUCCUUAGGAACUGAGUUCUGUGUUUGUGAUCCAUGAUUCAGCUACUACCAUACAUUGGGCCCUGAAAUAUGACCCCGCUCGACUUCUUAUUCACCCUCGUCCUCUGUCUAGGAGUUGCAAGUAGUUUCUGGUGUUUGUAGUAUGCUGGAGGCCGUGGACAGCGCUGAUCGGAGGGGUGGGCUGUGAUGCGGUAGGCACGUGGCCGGGUAUACCGGGCGCCCGUUUGGUGUCACGGAACCCUGUUCACAUCGUUUGGGGCUGUGAGCGAAACUCCGGCCGGAUCUCCUCAUGGAUGGAACCCGAAUAGGCGAUAAACCUAGACUAGAGAUUUGAGUGUUUAGGUAGGUCGUGUUCUACACCCACGUCGGCUUUCGCUUGAAGUCUGCCGAGCACAUGUCGUGUGCAGACGCUAAGUGGUGGAAACAUGUAUGAAGAAGUACACCCCUGCAGGGUUAACAUCAUCUAUUCGAAUAGCCGUGUCCACGGUAAAGGACUUCUGGUUUGCUUAUAUCAGUUCAUAGACAAGUGAAAGUGGAUACUCUAAAAUACGCAAGAUAAGCGUGAGUGCUAUGGAUGGCGUUCUCGUAGGGAGACGGGAGUGGAUCCAUAGUGGUGUAUUGAUAUGGUGAAUAUGUGGACUCGUGUGCGCCACCUCAAAAGAGUUACAUUGCAGUCGUAGUUCAGGAUAGCCACUGAGUCAAAGCUGGCUUGCUGCAGUUAAACCCCACCAUCCCCUUUGUUGAUAAUGAUGCAUAUGUAGUUAGUUCUGAUGUAAGUCUUGCUGGGUACAUUUGUACUCACAUUUGCCUAUUUUAUGUUUUUGCAGAGAGACUUCGGUCUCACUAGUAGUUUCGCGUGGACUUCGACGUUUAGCUUGUUACCUCAGCUACGAUCUUGUGCCCCGGCAGGAUCUGGUAGAUAGUCAGGCUUCUCAGCCUUUUUUAGUUAUAGAUGUCUGUACCCAGACAUGAUAGCUUCCGCUUGUGCUUUGAUUUGUAUGCUCUGAUUGUUGGGUCAUGAGACCCAUGUUUGUAAUAUCUCGCUCCUCGGAGCCUAUUGAAUAAAUUACUUGAGUCGUAGAGUCAUGUUGUGAUGCCAUGUUGUAUUUGCACAUAUCGUGCAUAUUGUGUGUAUGUUAUUGAAAUGCUUGGUAUGUGUGGGAUCUGACCAUCUAGUUGUUUAUCUUUAGUAGCCUCUCUUACGGGGAAAUGUCUCCUAGUGUUCCACCGAGCCAUGGUAGCUUGCUACUGCUCCGGAACACUUAGGCUGGCCGGCAUGUGUCCUUCUUCGUUCCUGUGUCUGUCCCUUCGGGGAAAUGUCACGCGAUGAAUACCGGAGUCCUGUUAGCCCGCUACAGCCCGGUUCACCGGAGUCCUGCUAGCCCAGUGCUACAGCCUGGAUUCACUCGCUGAUGACCGACACGUUCGAUGCUGGGUCAUGGAUGCCUGUCCCUGUAAGUCUGUGCCACUUUGGGUUUACGACUAGCCAUGUCAGCCCGGGCUCCUUAUCAUAUGGAUGCUAGCGACACUGUCAUAUACGUGUGCCAAAAGGCGCAAACGGUCCCGGGCAAAGGUAAGGCGACACCCGUGGGAAUACCGUGCGUGAGGCCGCAAAGUGAUAUGAGGUGUUACAUGCUAGAUCGAUGUGGCAUUGAGUCGGGGUCCUGACAGCGUUGGUAUCAGAGCUUGACUGCCUGUAGGAUUACCAAGCCAAACUGGUCGAAGUUGAGUCUAGAAAUUCUUUAGUUAUAUAAGGGAAUUGAUUGUGGGAUGGAACGUAAGGCUCUUUUACUCCUUAUACCUUAUGCCCUUCUAAUCUGAGUCAUCUUAUCUUCCUGCGGGGUUAAGGAACUAGGCCAUCUCUUCUUUCUAUCAGGAUCACGCGUUACUAAUCCGUAGACUUAUAAGAUUGUUGGAUUUAAGCUUAAGUUCAGUUCCUACGACUUCUGUAUGUUAACUGUUGAUCUCGGAACCUUGAUAUUGUGCUUCUGAGUGGCUAUGCCACCAUUUUUGUAGCAUGUCUCCAAUCUUUUGAGCAUUUACAGCCGUUAUGCUGUCCGAGUCAUCCCAGGUUUCUAAAUAGUCGGAUGCAAUUGCAAAUCCCUUCCUCCUGUUUCCGAUGUGCCUUUGGUCAGAUUAAUCACACAAAUCAGUGAGUUGAGGUACUUUAUUGCCUUGACAUAUAUGUUGGAGCUACUAUUAUGACACUAGGUGUUUUAGGGAGUCACCUAGUAAUCUAGCAAUGUUUUGUGUUCCCAGUGUGAAGAUUCUGGCCAUCAUUCUCGUAAGCAUCCCGUGAUGCCACUUAGUUAGUAGGCAUUUCACUUCUGGGUUUUCGACCCGAGAUUCACUCUACCUACUUCAUGUUGAUAGUAAUUGCUAGUGCCUUUAGGAUAUUAGUAACCUUUGCGAUAGUCCUUGAAGUCCGUGGUAUCUUCUUCUUCCAAAUACCAUGAACUACUUAUGGCAGAAGUUGCUCGUUGAACUGAAAUAUCACAACAGGAUUAUUCUUGAGGAGUUCUCCAUUCAUAAAUCGUGACUCUGCCGGUUCUACCUUUCUGCAUGGGUUAUCCGGAAAAAAUACGUUGAACUUGGUUCGACAUACUAAUCUAUGCAUCCACAACUCGGAAAAUUAUAUGUUCCUUUGAGUUGUUCUCUUUAGUUGCAUUCUGACCCUCGUCUAUUAAUUGAUAGUCAAGAGUAUGUGUGCGUUCGUUUAUCGAUGCCUAUUACUCUUGUGGUCCGUCAAGCCAUUAUCGUAGAAUGAUAGGAGAAACAAACUCCAGUACCUCUUCCAUAUCCAGGAUUGGGUCAAAGAAGUUGUGCUCCACAGAACAAAUUGCAAUCCAGCUUUUGUUCUGUUCUACUUUGAAGUGUUACCCUCUUUAUGUCCGGAUUGUCAUGAGAACUGCACCAACUCUCAUGAAUUUUGACGUAGUGAUACUUCUCACCAUCAUUAGUCAUUCCUCGGUCUUCGUGUUGAUGCAACCGGAAUACCGACAGAAGAAUUGUGAUGUGUGAAAUCAAUACUCCUAGCAACCUCGUUGCUUGGUAGUUAAAGGACAAUAAUUUCAUUCUUAGCGUGUUGGUUAUUGAAUCAUCCUUCUAAGACUGAUCGUGCUACCUAGUCCAUUUUCCUGGUGCACUCCUCGAUUGAUGAGAUAGGAUUUUGUUAAGUCCUCGCUCAUUUGGUCAUAUCGUCUUGCCCUGAAAAGCAAGAUUGUUCUCGAUCUUAGUAACAUAUCGGUGGUUCGUGAUUUUCCGAAUAUCUUCUCGAAAGUAUCACCAGGUUGUCACCUGACUGUUAUGUUAAGCUCGAGAUCAAGUUGGUUUAUCCUGUGAACCACCCUUCUCCAAGAAUCUGUGUUGGAUAUCCCUGAGCUAGUUGGUUAAGCUAGACAACAACUUGGAGGGUUGGAAGAUAAAAGCUUGCCUGACUUAGUUCGUCCCAAAGGGAUAUUCUUGUGUAGUGUGUGUUGAAGAAAGAUGAUAUCUUCAUCGAUUGGUCCCUGUGAUCAGUUGCUGGACCUAUUGUCUUAUCAAUCCUUUGAUUGAGUGUGGGCUAUCGUCAAAUCAAAUCAGUACCAACGAUUCUCGUAAUGUUGUCUUAUUCGUGGUUGAUCCCUCGAGCAUACACCAUUACAUCUUUGGUCUGACCAAUGCUAUCACCGUGUUCACUUAACUAUGGAAUUCCUUUUAAAAGGAAACCUAGAUGAAUUGUUGUUGAGCCCAUUGGCAACAUCCUUAUCUCCUCCAUGAUGUUGUUAAACAUUAAGCUAGUGUUGGAAACUUUGAAAGCAUUUUCUUCAUGCUAGCUCAUGAAGUAUUUGUUUGAUGAAAGGAGUGACUUCCUCUUAUACACGUGCAUUUGGUGAAAGUUGCCGCCGUGAAUUCGAGAAAGAUUGUUUUGUUUCCUUUGGAAUCAUCCCCAAAUCAGUCAUGCACACGUGCGAAGUAUUCUGUAGUCUGGAGGCUUGCAACCUUCAUUCUAUAUGUGUCCCUAGCACACUAAGCCACUGAUUGACUUGUUCAAGGAAAAGAAAUCUAUGCUUGGGAUCUAAUCCAUGGACUUGCGUAAAGACUUCGAUAUCCUCGAUGAUGGUUCUCCACCUGAACUCGGUAGUGUUUUAUUGUAAGACUACCACGUGGUCAUGCUUGUCUAGGACAUCGUGUUCACAUGUUGUAGCAGAACCAGCUCAUGUUUUGGAGCUUACUAUCGUAGUUCAUUCCCCGAGAAUCUCGCAACGUCAUCUCGUCGAUGUGUGUUGCAAACUUUCAUUUUUCUUCCUAGACUCGAUGAGUCUGGAAUAUCCUGACACCAACCAGAUCUGAAUCUCAGGCAGAUAUGAUGGUUUGGAACAUUUCCCAAGAACUAUAAUAUUGGUCCCUCGAUAACCGGUAAAGUGGAUGUCGUGGCCAACACACCCAGCCGGAAGACCUAUUAUUGUAGUAUCUUGUUUGAGGAAGUUGGCCACCUCCCCAUAAGGAUUUCGUAGGAUUUACCUCCGUAACUGUUCCUUAUGGAUUCUGUUGCUCCCGAAGUCCGACCUUUACUUGAUGUUCUAGUUAUCAAACCAUAUCUAUGAAUGGGUUACACUAGCACGUCAAGGAGAACAUUAGAAGCGGAGUGCUAAAUGUCUCUCGGUCGAUCAUCCAGAUUUUAUUUCCUUGGCCCCGCCAAGGGUGAAAUCUGAGAAAGUGUUAUCCUCCUUUGCAUCUGCAUCGUCCAUCGCUAUUCAUCAUGGUAGUAUGUUGUGUUGUCAGCACCCUUGACACGGAUGUUGAUAAAACCUUGAUGAUUGUGGAAAUGCUCAAGUUCUUGAGAGCACGUACAAGCGCUACGUGUUAUCAUCGACGCUAACUGGGAUUCCUCUCAGUUUCCUCGGCAAUGCUAUGACCUUUUCAACCAGUGAAUUAACUCUCUAGUGUUGGGUUCUUCCCCAGUUACCAGAAUCAUUCCCAGCAUUUGCAUUUUGUUCCCAGCUUGCACCGCCAAUGUGCCAUUCUACCAUGGGUCUCUUCCAUUUUCGGUGGUAAGCAAAUUCAUCCAUUACGUUGUCUUCAACAAGGUAAUCCACAUCAUCCAAGUCCGAGUAUGCCAUUCUACCGACCCCCCCCCCAAACGAUCGGUCGAGAAUUGCCUUAGGUUGGUUUAAAGAGUCUCAAUGAUCUCUGAAUCAAAGGUAAUUCUUUUUGCCACUUAAGGGGAUAUUUCUAUGAGUCACCUUCCCUAAGGUGCAUCGUUAUGGUAUUAUGGAAACUCAACUCCUCGCUACGUUGACAACCGUUCACCACCCUCUUAGGUGUGGAAUUGUGGUCUACCUAGUGAACCUUCGUCAUCUGCUUCACUCCAUUCCUAUGGAUGUGUGCUUCGCCUCUCAGCUCGAGAGAUGUUGCUAUGUCUCAUUCCGUGAGUUAAUCCUGAGUUGUUCGACCUUCGAGAAGAACCAUUCUUUUAGGGUCUUUCCUUUCCUCUCGUUGUCAUGUUAGCUGGAGUUCACAGAGCAAGACUUCGAGACAAUGAUGGUGGACGAAUCAACGUCCAUUUGAAGUGCAACUGGAUCGUGAAGAUUGUGCUAGUUUGCGUUCCCCCUUCACCUUACCCUAUGCUUGAAUCUCGGGACGAGAUUUUUGUUUAGUGGGGGUGAGUUGUCACAGCCCUAGAAUUUGCUUGUCAUUAGUUGCAUUAAGGCAUUCAUGCAUCAUGUUUAAAAUUCAUGAAACUUGAAAUGGGGAUGACAAACCCUAGCACUAGAUAAAAUGCAAUUAGGAUCAAAAUAAAAAUAUUUUCAAUAAACCCAGAAUGCCCUUUAGAAAAGUUCAUUAUUUUUGUUAAAGGUGAAAACCCCUGCCAUUAAUGAUGCACAUAUUUCUAGGCCAUUCUGGAUUUUUGAAUUAAAUCCUAUUGUAUUUGACCUUGGGCAUUUAAAUACUAUAAAUAAUUUAAAUGUUCAAAUAAAUGUUGGAAAUUGUUAAGGGUCACUGAAAUAAUUCAGAAAGCACCCAUAAUUGUUUCCAGGAUUUUAUAAAAUGAUCUGAUAUUUUAAAUCAAAUCAAAACAAACUACAGAAAAUAGAAAACAGAAUUAAAUAGAAAUAAGAGAGAGAGAGAAGGACUUAUCUGGCGCUCACCCGGUAGCCAGCCGGCCCAGCUCCUGUGCGGCCCAGCCCAUCUCCACUUCCCCCCCCCUGUCGUCUUCCUCCUCGCCAGAAGGACCGAGGCGUGGCGCGUGCGCCCGAGAGCCCCGGCCACCUCCUGCUUACCUGCUCGCCGCUGGAGGCACCUGAGGGUGCCACGCACUCCCCUCGACCCUCUCCUACUCUCCCCGUGCCCCUCUCGCUCUCCCUCGCCCUCAUCCUCUCCCCCUCCUCUGUCCUCCUCACCCGAACAGAGCCGCCGCCACCGACGAGAACCACCGUGGCCACCGGCCACCCCACGCCUCACCGACGCCCCAGGAAGCUCUGCCUCGACCUACUCAUCCUCCCCACCACUCCAAGCAACACCAGGAGCCCUGCAGUGACGCCAUCGCCGCCAUCUUCACCGACGGGCAUCGAAGAUCGCCGGCCCGAUUCUCCGUCUCCAGGUCGCCCCCGAGCCCACUGAGACGCGCUCUGCAACCACAGUGAGCUCAUGGACCGAUUCCCCCUCCUCUCCUGCUCGCGUUCUUGCUCUAGCCCCGUUCCCCACCUCCGCCGAAGCUCGCCGCCGCCACGGCCGACGAGCUCCAUGCUCCUGAGCUCGUCCGCUCGCCCGAGCAUCACCAGCGUGCUCGUCGCGCUCCUGUGAACCUGCAGCACCCACGGGUUCUCCCUGUUGUGCACGGUAGCACCGUUUCCGCCAACGCCCGAGGUCCGGCAGCCGCUGAGCUUGACGCCGGCGAGGAUUACGGCCACCCCAGCUCGCCCCGGUUGCGCUGUUGGAUGCGCGGGAUCGCCAGCUUCCCGUAGAGCCCAGCGGCGCCUCGAAUGGCUCCCUGUAUCGCAAUUCCGAGCCGCCCCGCCGCUACUGUCGUCGCCGGCGGGUUUGACCUGAUCGGCCCAGGGGUUGACCCCCCCCCCUGACGUGUGGGCCCAGGCGCCUGCUUAAUUAGUGUUAGGUUAGUUAGUGUUAAUUAACUUAGUUAAUUAGGUGAGCCACUGACAUGCGGGCCCCGCCCGGCUAACUAAGUUAGUUAGGGCUAAUCAUAUUUAGGUUAGUCACUGACCAGUGGGCCCAAUCCAGUUAGUUAGGGCUAACUAACUUGGUUAGUUGACUGGGUCACUGACCAGUGGGUCCCACUGGUCAGGUUUGACCUGGUCGACGCCUUUGACCUGCUGACGUCACCCCGGCAUCAUGCUGACGCAGUAUAUGCUUCUGGGAUUUUAAAUAAGUCAGAAAUGAUUUAUUUAUUUUCAGAAUAUGCCCUAAACUUCAAUAAAUCAUGGAAAAUUAACCGUAACUACAAAUGAAAUAAAUUAUAUAUGAAAAAUUAUCAGAAAAAUUCAAGGAAUCCAUCUGUACCAUUUUCAUGCAUGUUAGAACAACUUAUAGAUGCUGUUUAGCACAAAUCAUAUAAAGGGCAUUUAAAUAAUCACAUAUGGAGUUUGAAUUUGAAUCUUGUAUUCAAACCAACUUCAUUUAAAUUGUUGCUAGAUGCAUUAGCCCAAAACACAUUCAUCUUGCCAUGUCAUGAGCAUGCAUCAUAUUGUGCAUUGCAUUGAUUGUAUUUCUUCUUUGUUGCCGGUAUCUGUUCCCCCCGGUAGACGAUGUUCCGACGUUGUGAUCGUUGACACUAAUGAAGACUCAAUGUUAUCUUCAGAAGUGCCAGGCAAGCAAAACACCCUUGUUCAUUCUGAUAAAAUCCCACUCUCUCGCUCCUGCUCUCUUUUAAUGCAUUAGGAUAACAACGAUUCAACUGUUACUUGUUGCGGUAGCUGAACCCCUUUAUCCUUUGCAUGACCUGUCAUUGCCACAGUAAAUAGAUGAAACCCACUAGCAUGAGUAGGAGUUGUUUGAGCCCUGUUGUGCCUACUCAUUCUUGCUUGUUUGUCAUGCCUGCUACUGCUUAGAGUUGUGUCAGGUCUGAUUUAUCCGGGAUGAAUCAGAGGUGUGUGAACAUGUCCUACUGUGUGAGCUAAGUGUGUGAACACGAUUUGGUAAAAGGUGUCGGUGAGAGGCCAUGUAGGAGUACAUGGUGGGUUGUCUCAUUGAAGCCGUCCUUAGGAACUGAGUUCUGUGUUUGUGAUCCAUGAUUCAGCUACUACCAUACAUUGGGCCCUGAAAUAUGACCCCGCUCGACUUCUUAUUCACCCUCGUCCUCUGUCCAGGAGUUGCAAGUAGUUUCUGGUGUUUGUAGUAUGCUGGAGGCCGUGGACAGCGCUGACCGGAGGGGUGGGCUGUGAUGCGGUAGGCACGUGGCCGGGUAUACCUGGCGCCCGUUUGGUGUCACGGAACCCUGUUCACAUCAUUUGGGGCUGUGAGCGAAACUCCGGCCGGAUCUCCUCAUGGAUGGAACCCGAAUAGGCAAUAAACCUGGACUAGAGACUUCAGUGUUUAGGUAGGUCGUGGUCUACACCCACGUCGGCUUUCGCUUGAAGUCUGCCGAGCACAUGUCGUGUGCAGACGCUAAGUGGUGGAAACAUGUAUGAAGAAGUACACCCCUGCAGGGUAAAGGACUUCUAGUUUGCUUAUAUCAGUUCAUAGACAAGUGAAAGUGGAUACUCUAAAAUACGCAAGAUAAGCGUGAGUGCUAUGGAUGGCGUUCUCGUAGGGAGACGGGAGCGGAUCCAUAGUGGUGUAUUGAUAUGGUGAAUAUGUGGACUCGUGUGCGCCACCUCAAAAGAGUUACAUUGCAGUCGUAGUUCAGGAUAGCCACCGAGUCAAAGCUGGCUUGCUGCAGUUAAACCCCACCAUCCCCUUUGUUGAUAAUGAUGCAUAUGUAGUUAGUUCUGAUGUAAGUCUUGCUGGGUACAUUUGUACUCACGUUUGCCUAUUUUAUGUUUUUGCAGAGAGACUUCGGUCUCACUAGUAGUUUCGCGUGGACUUCGACGUUUAGCUUGUUACCUCAGCUACGAUCUUGUGCCCCGGCAGGAUCUGGUAGAUAGUCAGGCUUCUCAGCCUUUUUCAGUUAUAGAUGUCUGUACCCAGACAUGAUAGCUUCCGCUUGUGCUUUUAUUUGUAUGCUCUGAUUGUUGGGUCAUGAGACCCAUGUUUGUAAUAUCUCGCUCCUCGGAGCCUAUUGAAUAAAUUACUUGAGUCGUAGAGUCAUGUUGUGAUGCCAUGUUGUAUUUGCACAUAUCGAGCAUAUUGUGUGUAUGUUAUUGAAAUGCUUGGUAUGUGUGGGAUCUGACAAUCUAGUUGUUUAUCUUUAGUAGCCUCUCUUAUGGGGAAAUGUCUCCUAGUGUUCCACCUUGCCAUGGUAGCUUGCUACUGCUCCGGAACACUUAGGCUGGCCGGCAUGUGUCCUUCUUCGUUCCUGUGUCUGUCCCUUCGGGGAAAUGUCACGCGAUGAAUACCGGAGUCCUGUUAGCCCGCUACAGCCCGGUUCACCGGAGUCCUGCUAGCCCAGUGCUACAGCCUGGAUUCACUCGCUGAUGACCGACACGUUCGAUGUUGGGUCAUGGAUGCCUGUCCCUGUAAGUCUGUGCCACUUUGGGUUUACGACUAGCCAUGUCAGCCCGGGCUCCUUAUCAUAUGGAUGCUAGCGACACUGUCAUAUACGUGUGCCAAAAGGCGCAAACGGUCCCGGGCAAAGGUAAGGCGACACCCGUGGGAAUACCGUGCGUGAGGCCGCAAAGUGAUAUGAGGUGUUACAUGCUAGAUCGAUGUGGCAUUGAGUCGGGGUCCUGACAAAAUAUUUUUAAAAUAAAUCAGAUAAAAAAACUAGACAGAAAAAUAAAGAUGACAAAAAAAGAAUCAAUCAAAAAUCAUUUUCGGUUUAGGAGUUAUUAAAGUUUUGGCCCAGGGACUUGUCUGUAAUGAAACAGAAAGUUUCCAGGGGCUAGCUUAUAAAAACAGAAAACGAUUCGAUUAAAACCCGCCAACUCCAAAGGAAAAACGUAUCCUGCCUGAAGGCGUUUCCAAAAAACGGUUCGAAUAUAAAAGAGAGGCUGGCGAGGGGGUCCAACUCGUUAGGUUUAAAAGUUUGAGAGAGAAAACAGAGUGCGCCGGUGCCCGAAGCUUGCGAUGGUCGUCGGUGACGAUCCACGGUGAGUUAGGAGGAGCGGAGCGUACCUACGGACUCAGGGUGCUCUUCCGCGUCUGUGGGUGGUGGAGUUGGUCGUUGGCGAGCCCCACGUCGAUGGCGGCCUUCACUCCGGCGGACGAUGGCUCGGGUGUCGGUGGAUCUCGCCGAGAAGGGCUGCAAGUUUUAAAUUGGGGCGUGGGUUAGUGGAGUGGGUGCACUAGGAUGCCACUGGUACAACGUGAGAGGCGGGGGUGCACGCACUCGAGCUAACCUUGCUAGAGCCCGAAGUGGAUCGGGGCGGCCGGAGUCGGAGGAGAAGGCCUCCUCGGGGUCCACCUAGUUGUCGAGCGCAGUCCUGGAGAGGUGGAGGGAGUGGUGCUGGUCGAAGGCGAGCUCGGGGUGGCUAUUUAUAGCCGGCCCGAGGCGGUUGCCGAGAACGGGAUAGCUCCGACGGUGAUUACGGCGAGGCAGUGGCCGGACGGGGGUUUUAGGUGGCUGGGCAACAACGUGAUGAUCUACUGGUUACCUUCAAACGCUAACCUCGGUUGGAUUGGACCUGCUCCGCGGUUUCGACAGAACGGCGAUUCGCGGGCCUGUCGGCGGCAGAGAGCACACUCUAUGCUUGCCAGGCCACGGUGAUGGUGCUGCGGUGCGCGCAGGGGAGCAGACGGCCACGCGGAGGCCUCGGGUGGCUCGGGCAGUGCUGGACGGCGUCGAAAGCUGGCGCUGGCUCCCGCUGGCCGCCGCAGGUGGCUUUUCCACCGCAAAAGUUGCCGGCGUCGGCAAGGCACGCCGCCACCGACACCUGCGCCUGUCCGAAAGAACGUGCGGCGCUCUGGAUAAGGAGGAGGAGCAAUGCGUAAGGUGCCAGCGCGUGCACUGGUGAGAUCGAUGCCGAGGCUCUGAAGAAAACGACGCCGCUGACUAAAACUUGACACUGAACUCUGAAUUUUCUGAAUCUGUGACAGAAACAGUGCACGCCAGGUGCUCAAUGAAAUGUUUUUGGCAUGUGGGAAAAUUAUCUGGAGCUGAUCUUUGGUGAGGUGGCCUCUCAAUGCACCUGGGGGCUGCUUUAUUUUUGUCAGAAUUUUUGGAAAAGGAAAAAUAUGAAUUUCACCAAAAAUGAUGAAUCUGGUCCAAACUUGUAGUGAGGAAAACUUGAAAAUUUUGAACUGUGGAAGAGUGGAUCUUGAUGGAUCUAGGUUGGGGGUGCUAAGGACUAGUCAGAGGAGUUGGUUUGGGGUCAGAACUCAAAAGAAAUUUGGUACUUCCUUUGUAAAUCACCUUGGUUCAAAAUACAAAGCAGAAAUAGUUUUGGGAAUAAAAUAAAUGAAAUAAAAAUAAGAAAUGGGUUGAACUUGCUGGGAUUGGAUAUUUGGCUUGACCCAAUGUCAGGACCCCGACUCGAUGUCACAUCGAUCUAGCAGGUAACACCUCAUAUCACUUUGCGGCCUCACGCACGGUAUCCCCACGGGUGUCGCCUUACCUUUGCCCGGGACCGUUUGCGCCUUUUGGCUCACGUAUAUGAUAGUGUCGCUAGCAUCCAUGUGAUAAGGAGCCCGGGCUGACAUGACUAGUCGUAAACCCAAAGUGGCACAGACUUACAGGGACAGGCAUCCAUGACCCAGCUUCGAACGUGUCGGUCAUCAGCAAGUGGGUCCGGGCUGUAGCACUGGGCUAGCAGGACUCCGGUAAACCGGGCUGUAGCGGGCUAACAGGACUCCGGUACUCAAUGCGUGACAUUUCCCCGAAGGGACAGACACAGGAACGAAGAAGGACACAUGCCGGCCAGCCUAAGUGUUCCAGAGCAGUAGCAAGCUACCAUGGCUCAGCGGUAACACUAGGAGACAUUUCCCGGUAAGAGAGGCUACUAAAGAUAAACAACUAGGUAGUCAGAUCCCACACAUACCAAGCAUUUCAAUCAUACACACAAUAUGCUCGAUAUGUGCAAAUACAACGAAGCAUCACAACAUGACUUUACGACACAAGUACUUUAUUUAAGGCUCAGGGAGCCAUACAUAUCAUACACAAAGGUACGGGUCUCACGACCCAACAUUCAAGUCAUACAGUCAUACAAACCAGCAGCGGAAGUAACUUGUCUGAGUACAGACAACUAGUAAAAUAAAAGAGGCUUGGAAAGCCUAACUAUACUACGUGGUCCUUCACAAGCUCAGGAUCACCACCUGGGCCUUUAGCCUACUCGUUGAUGUCAAUGUCUACGUAGAACCCAUCAGAAGGGGUUGCAGCGUCUUCUGUAAAAUGUAAAUUAUAGCAACAUGAGUACAAAGGUACUCAGCAAGACUUACAUCAGAUCCUACAUACAUGCACAUUGUCAAGAAGGGUUGGUGGAGCUAUUGCAGCAAGCCAGCUUUGACUCUUGGCUAGACUAUCCUACGAUACUCCAACUUGAAAUGGUUUUGCGCACACGAGUCCACUACCCACCACUUCAAUACACUACCGAGGAUCCGCCUCCGUCUUCCUACGGAAGAGCCAUCCUCGGCACUCACACUUAUCUUGAGGCUUUUAGUAGUUUCCAUUUACUUGUCUAUGAACUGUAUAGGCAACCAAGUAGUCCUUUACCGCGGACGCGUCUAUUCGAAUAGAUCAUGAUAACCCUGCAGGGGUGUACUUCUUCAUACAUGUUUCCACCACUUAGCGUCUGCACACGACAUGUGCUCGGCAGACUUCAAGCGAAAGCCGACGUGGGUGUAGACCACGACCUACCUAAACACUUAAGCCUCUAGUCCAGGUUUAUCGCCUAUCCAGGUUCCAUCCGCAGGGAGUCCGGUCGAGGUUUCCCAUACGGCCCCGAACGAUGUGAACAGGGUUCCCGAGAUACCUAACGGGUAUUCGGUACACCCGGCCACGUACCUACCGCAUCACAGCCCACCCCUACGGUCAGCGCUGUCCACGGCCUCCAGUAGGCUACAAACACCAGAAACUACAUGCAACUCCUGGACAGAGAGCUAGGGUGAAUAAGAAGUCGAGCGGGGUCAUAUUUCAGGGCCCAAUGCAUGGUAGUAGCUGUAUCUUAAAUCGCACAUACAGAUCUCAGUGCUUAAGGUCGGCUUCAAUGAAACAACCCACCAUGUACUCCUACAUGGCCUCUCAUCGAUACCUUUACCAAAUCGUGUUCACCACACCACUCUCAUUACCGACAUAAUCAUUUCACUCUAGCCCAUCACCCAGAUGAACCAGACCUGACACGACUCUAAGCAUAGCAGGCAUAGCAAGGUAGGAACAACACAUACAUAUGGCUGAAACAACUCCUACACAUGCUAGUGGGUUUCAUCUAGUUACUGUGGCAAUGACAGGUCAUGGAGAGGAAAUGGGUUCAACUACCGUAGCACACAGCAGUUUGAAACGCGUUGUCUUAAUGCAGUAAAAGAGAGCAGGAGCGAGAACAUGGGAUUGUAUCGAUAUGAUCAAAUGGUUGGUUGCUUGCCUGAUGGUUCGAUGCACUGAUACGGUUCUUCGUUAGGGUAAUCACGGUACUCCUCGGAGGCAGAACCUGUCGCAAAGGACACCGAUACACAACCAUCACCAAACAAUGUGCAACAAUAUGAUGCAUGCAUGAAACAUGGCAAUAUGAGUGUGUUGGGCUAAUGCAACUAAAACCAGAAGGGUUUAAUCAAAGAUUCAAAUUUUCAAACUCAAACAUGGCCUUUUAAAGUGCUUUUCCUUGUUCUGCUUUAAACAUCAAUUUAACUUGUUUGAUCAUGCAUGAAAAUAGUACAGAUGGAUAGAUUGGAUUUUUCUGAUCAUUUUUCAUAUAUAAUUUGUCUGAUUUGGAGUUACAGAAUAAAAGUUAUGAAUUUUUGAAGUUUAAAUUAUAUUCUGGAAUUUCCUGAUUUAAUUUAAAUCCAGAAAUAUAUAUAUAUUGCGCCAGCAUGACGUCAGCACGACGUCAGCGGUCAACUGCGGCUGGCUGGGGUCAAACCUGACGUGUGGGGUCCACACGUCAGUGACAGGGGGGGUUAACAGAGGUUAGAUUAAUCCUAAUUAAGAAUUAGUGGCGCUGGGGCCCACUGGUCAGUGUCAGGGGGUUAAUUGACAGUGAUUAGCACUAAGCUAACCACCUGGCCGACGGGGCCCACGCGUCAGUGACUCUGGGGGGGUCAAACCCCAGGUCGGACAAGUCAAACCCGCCGGCGGUUAGUCGCCGGCGAGGUCCGCGGCGUACAUGUGCCCCGGGUUUCCUCUGUGGUGCUCCAAACGGCGUGCGGCUAGGUGCGUUGGAAAGCUAGCUCGAUAGCGCGUCGGGCGGUGGCCGUGGCUGGGCCUGGGGUGGCCGGAGUCGACGGUGGCGAGCUCGGCUGCGGCCGCCGGGGUUCGGUCGUGCACGGAAACGUGGUUGGAGCUCGAAGGCGAGCGAAGCAAGGCGCUAGGGAUGCUCUACGGGGCCUUACGAACUUGUUGGGCUCGCCGGGGUGACCAAAUGGUCACCGGAGCUGCGUCGACGGCGAGCUUGGCGACGGCGGAGGUUCGGCCGUGGUGGGGAACGGAGUUACGGCGCGGGAACGAGGGGGAGAAGAGAGGGAAACGGUGGCGGAGCUCACCGCGGUUGCAGCGGGCGUCGAAGCGGGCUCAGGGACGCACUGGAGACGGCGAAUCGACGGCGAUGGUGGUCGGAGCCCGAGGAGGAAGACGAUGGCGACGGCGGCUCCACAGGGCGUCCGGCGUCUUAUGGCUUGACGGAGAGCUUCAGGGCGAGGGGGCGGAGCUCCUGCGCGUGUCGGGGAGGCGAGGGGAGGCCGGUGGCGGCUGCUAUGGCGAACGGCGGCGAUGGGUGCGUUCGGACACGGGAGAGAGAGAGCGAGGGAGAGGAGAGGAAGAACCGGGGGAGAGUGAGAGAGUACGGGGGAGGGCGUGGCGUCGUUCCAGGGCAUCCAGACGGGGAGGGGAGAGGCAGGCAGGCAGGCGAGCUGGUGGCGUGGCGCGGUGGCGCGCGCGCGCGCCGGGCACACUCCCCUCCCUCUGUCGAGGACGAAGACGACAGAGGAGGAGGCGGGCUGGGCCGCCUGCUGGCUGGGCCGGCCAGCUACUGCUGGGCUGCACAGGGAGGAGCCCCAGGUAAGCUUCUCCUUCUUUUAUUUAUUUUUGUUUUCUAAUUUCUGACAUUUGUUUUGAUUUAAAUAAAAUAUUAAAUCAUUUAUUUACCUUAUGCCAAUUUUUGCAGGAGCUAGAUAUAUUAUUCCAGAGCUCCCCAACAGGUGGCAUAAUUUUUGGACAUAUAUUAAUAUAUAUAACUAAUAUAUUUCCAAUGCAAAUAUUUAUGCAUUAAUUCCAAAUGCCCAAAAUGAAUACCUAUGAGCUCUUAAAAAUAUUGAUUUGAUUUUUAUCUCUGUCCAAUAUUUUCAGAGAGCAACAUGAGCAUUUUAUUGGACCCUUUUGGAGAAAUUUUUAUUUGGGUCAUUUUCAAAAAUGAUUCUGAGGGUUUCACAAAUCCCCAUUUCAAAAUUAAAUGGAAUUUUAAACAUGAUGCACACACUCUGAUGCAUGACUAGCCAGGUGUGACACCCAAAGUGGAGGGAGAGGUUUUGGAAGAGAUUUUUAGCAUGGGCAUGGUGGAAGAGAAUGGUUUGAAUAAAAGGGAAUAAACCAAAAACCCUAAAGAUUUCUUUUUAAUUGAAUUUUUUUCAAAAUAAAUUGUGAUGAGUCACACCAAUGAAAAGCCUUCAAAGUCAAACAUCAAGGUUGAGGAUGACCCAAAAUAAAGAUUUUGACAUAAGAGAAAAUAUUUGAGAAGGAGAGUCUUUUUAAAAGAUUUUGAAUAGCCUCCUUCAAAUCAAAAGAAUUUGCUGAAAACCAAAUAAAAUUUUUUGGAGUGUCACAACACCUACCCCCUUAGGAAAAAUCUCGUCCCCGAGAUUUCAGCUGAUCCUCAAAUAGGUGUGGGUGCCCUGUCCGAAGAAAAUCCUCUCUUUCCCAUGUUGCUUCAUCCUCGGUGUGAUUGCUCCACUGAACUCUGAAAAACUUGAUUGUUUUCUGACGGGUCCUCCUUUCAGACUCCUCCAAUAUUUUUAUUGGACAUUCCCUGUAGGUGAGGUCUGGUUGCACGUCAAUGUCUUCAUGGGAUACAUGCUUCUCUGGGUUGCUUACGCACUUCCUCAACUCUUAUACAUGGAACACGUCGUGGACGUCUGACAGUUCUUCGGGUAGGUCUAGCUGGUAGGCUACUGUGCCUCUUCGUGCAACUACACAGAAGGGUCCGAUGAAUCCUGGUGCUAGCUUUCCUUUAACUUUGAAUCAUUGUAGGCCCCUCAUAGGUGAUACUCGUAGGUACACAUACUCACCGGGUUCAAAACUGACUCCCCGAUGUUUUCGAUCUAAUAACUCUUCUUUCGACUUUGAGCUGUCUCGAGUCGGUCCCUGAUUAGCUUAACCUUUUCCUCAGCCUCCUUGAGCAUGUCUGGGCCAAAGAUACGACUGUCGCCGGUCUCUGACCAAUUUAGUGGGGUACGACAUCUCCGCUCGCACAAGGCUUCAAAAGGUGCCAUUUGUAGGCUGGCUUGGUAGCUGUUGUUGUAUGCGAACUCGGCAUAUGGCAAGUUUUCUUCCCAACUGGUUCCAUAGGUGAGGACACAUGCCCUCAGCAUGUCUUCUAGAAUUUGGUUUACCCGUUCAGUUUGUCCAUCAGUCUGGGGGUGGUAUGCUGUACUGAAUGCUAGUUGAGUUCCCAGGGCUUGUUGUAAUUGAUCCCAAAAUCUAGAGACGAAUUGCGUGCCUCUGUCAGAUUUUAUAGUCUUUGGGACUCCAUGCAGACAGACGAUACGGGAGAGAUAAAGCCUGGCAAGCUUAUGAGUGGUGUGGGUUGUCUUCACCGGGAUGAAAUGUGCCACCUUAGUCAAUCUAUCUGUGAUGCCCCAUAUGGCAUCAUUUCUGUAUUGUGACCGGGGUAGUCCAACAAUAAAAUCCAUUCCAAUCUCGUCCCAUUUCCACUCGGGUAACUUGUUUGCCUGUAAUAGUCCGACUGGUUUCUGGUGCUCGGCCUUAAUGCGUUGGCAUGAAUCACAACAUGCAAUGAAUGUGGCUAUGUCCCUUUUCAUACUGUGCCACCAAAAAUUUUCCUGAAGGUCCUUGUACAUCUUGGUUCCUCCAGGAUGGAUUGAAUAUGGAGCGGUGUGGCCUUCAGCUAGAAUUUGCUGUUUAAGGUCCUCGAUAUUUGGUACGCAAAGCCUAUCUCUGUACCACAAUAUUCCCUUAUCGUCUAUGACGAAUUUUGAGGCCUUGCCGAUACUCACUUUUCUUUUUAUGCCUUCGAUGGUGGGGUGUCCAAGCUAAGCCUCCUUAAUCUGUUCUAUCAGGGUAGGUUGUAUUUCCAAAUUCGACACAUUGCCUUCGGUGACCAUUACCAAGUUCAGUUUGGCAAACUCCUGCUGAACUUCUGCUCUCAAAUUUGGUCGGCUGUCAUUGCCCGAGCUGGGGUUCCGACUAAGAGCGCCCGCCACUACAUUUGCUUUUCCUGGAUGGUAGUGAAUGCCGACAUCAUAAUCUUUCACUAAUUCUAACCAGCAUCGUUGUCGCAAAUUGAGUUCUGGUUGUGUGAAAAUAUAUUUGAGGCUUUUAUGGUCCGUAUAUAUUUCACAAUGAUUCCCAAGCAAAAAGUGUCUCCACUCCUUGAGUGUGUGAAUGACUGCUGCCAACUCCAAGUCGUGUGUGGGAUAAUUCUCUUCAUGCUUCCGUAAUUGCCUAGAAGCGUAUGCGACUACUUUGCCUUCUUGCAUUAAUACGCAUCUGAGGCCCUUCCUGGAUGCGUCACAAUAUACUUCAAAACUCUUGUGUAUGUCCGGUAUAACCAAUACUGGUGUUGUUGUUAAUUUCCUUUUGAGUUCUUGGAAACUUUUCUCGCAGGCUUCAGUCCAUAUAAACUUUUUAUCCUUCUUGAGUAACUGCAUCAUUGGUUUUGCUAUGGUGGAGAAACCUUCAAUAAAUCUUCGGUAGUAUCCUGCCAUUCCCAAGAAACUUCGUACAUCCGUUACGAUGGCUGGUGGUUUCUAGCCAAGUACGACCUUGACUUUUUCCGGGUCUACGGCAACACCUUCUUGGGUUAGUACAUGGCCUAGAAAACCAACUUGUCUUAACCAAAAUUCACAUUUGCUGAAUUUGGCGUAUAACUGAUGUUUCCUUAAUUCUCCCAGUACAAUCCUGAGAUGUUCAGCGUGCUCUUCUGGAGUCUUGGAGUAUACCAGAAUAUCGUCAAUGAAUACCACAACAAAUUUGUCCAUAAAUUUCAUAAAUACUUUGUUCAUGAGGUGGACAAAAUAUGCGGGGGCGUUUGUCAGUCCAAACGGCAUUACUGUAAACUCAUAUAGUCCGUAUCUUGAGGUAAAUGCUAUUUUGGGAAUAUCUUCUGUCCACACUUUUAAUUGAUGAUACCCCGACCUCAAAUCAAUUUUCGAGAAGACUUUGGCUUGUGCGAGCUGGUCAAACAAGUCAUUUAUCCGUGGCAUUGGAUAUUUGUUUUUGAUGGUGACCAUGUUGAGUGCUCGAUAGUCUAUACAUAAUCUUAGUGUCCCAUCCUUUUUCUUGGCAAAUAAUACUAGUGAACCCCAAGGUGAGGAGCUGGCUCGUAUAAAUCCUUUGUCCAGUAAUUCUUUUAUUUGCUUCUUUAAUUCUACCAACUCGGAGGGUGCCAUUCUAUAGGGCUUCAUGUAAAUGGGGGUGGUUCCAGGUGCUAGCUCAAUGAUGAAUUCUAUUUCCCGGUCUGGCGGCAUGCCUGGUAGUUCCUCAGGAAAUACAUUGGGAAACUCACAUACCACUCGAACUUUGUUUAACUCUGAGAUGUCCACCUUGUUAAACCUUGGUUGCCGUGAUAUUUGCCUUUCUUGAGCUGAAAUCUUUAUUGUCUUCCCGUGAUGAUGAGUGAGAAUCACAGUCCGAUUGAAACAGUCAAUAAAUCCUUUGUUGAUGGUUAACCAGUCCAUUCCUAGGAUAACAUCCAGUCCCUUGUUUUCCAAUACGAUGAGGUUUGCAUGAAACUUUAGUCCUUCAAGAUCAAUAACCACACCUUGGCAGUAAUUCCGAGUAACUUGCUUAAUCCCAGGGGACUUGAUGAUCAUGGAUUUUUCCAAGGGGAGCAUUGAAAAAUCAUUUUGCAAAGCAGAUUUCUUUGAAAUGAACGAGUGAGAAGCUCCAGAAUCAAUCAAAACCGUGGCAGGUAUUGUGUUGAUAGGGAACAUACCGAGUACGAUAUCCGAGGCAUUCUGUGCUUCCUCUCUAGUCACGUGGUUCAAGUGACCCUUCUUGUGAUUGUUAUUGGGGUUGAAGUUGUUCCGCUUGGGCGUUGAAUUAUUGCCACCGUUGUUCGGCUUUGGGGCUGAGUUCCUUGGCUUGGGACACUGCUUGGCAUAGUGUCCUUCUUCUCCACAAGCGUAGCAAGUAACGCCUGGGCGAUAUGUGAACUCCUUGUCCCUUGCAUGGAAAUUUUUGAUUGGGCGUGAAACAUUGGUCAUGGGUUUGUGUGCCCCACCUUUCUGAAAAUCCGUCUUGCUCCGGUGGUUGCGAGCAAGAGUAGUCUGGUCCCUUUUUCGCUUGCGGAAAUCCUCCAAGCUGCGGCGCUCAUUUUCCAAUGUAAUAGCCUUAUCCACCAGUGUUUUCAAAUCUAGGAACGUGUGUGACACUCCAAAAAAAUUUAUUUAGUUUUCAACAAAAACUUUGUUGGAUUUUUAAGAAGGUCAUUUAAAUCCUUCCAAAAACCUCUCUCUCAAAACUUUUCCCCAUGGCAAGGAUUUUAUUUUGGUAUCUUCUUCAACCCUGGUGUUUGGUUAUUAAAAACCUUUCUUCUGAUUUUUCCCAUCUCAAAUAUAUUUUUGGAAUUUAUUUUCUUUUAAAAGAAACCCUAUGGGUUUGGGGGCUUCUUUUGUUUUGAAACCACCCAUACUUUUACCAUGCCUCAUGUGGUAAAUCCUCCCAAAAUCCCUGCCUCCACUUUGGGGCAAUCCAAACUUUCUGUUCCAACAAGUCCAACCCAUUUUUGGAUUUUAUUUCAUUUAUUUUACUCCCCAAAACAAUUCUGUCAAUUAUUUUAAGCCUAGAUGAUUUACAAAGGAAGUACCUGACUUCCUUUAAGUUUUGAUCUCAAACCAACUCCUCUGGAUAGUCCUUAGCACCCCCAACCUAGAUCCAUCAAGAUCCACUCUUCCUCUUUUCCAAAUUUUCAAGUUUCCACCUCUGUAAGUUUGGACCAGAUUCAUCAUUUUUGGUGAAAUUCAUAUUUUCCUUUCUCCAAAAAUUUCACCAAAAUUCAGGCAGCCCCCAGGUGCUUUGAGAGGCCACCACACCAAAGAUCAGCCCCAGAAUAAUUCUUCUCAUGCUUGAUUCAUUUCAUCAAACACUUGGUCGGCACUGUUCCUGUACACUUUCAGUAAAUUCAGAGUUUCAGAGUGUUGACAGUGUCGUUUUUCGUCAGUGCCUUGUCAUCGAUCACCAGUGCACCCUGGCGCGUUGCGCAUGGCCUUUCCUUCUUAACCUGAGCACCGCACGCUUCCUUGGACAGGCGUAGGUGUCGGUGGCGGCGAGCCUCGCCGACGCCGGCAGCCUUUGCGGUGGCAGAGCCACCCGUGGCGGCCAACAGGAGCCACGGCCAGCUCGCUACACCGUUCGGCGCCGCCCAAUGCUCCCUAGCCCUCUGCUUGGCCUCAUGCAUGCCAGCACACACCGCAGCACCGUCACCGUGGCCCGGCAAGCACAGGGCACGCUCUCUACCGCCGACGGGCCCGCGUCGCCCCGUUCUGUCAAAACCACCCACGCGCGCCUAAUCCAACCUGGUUUAUCUUCUAAACGGAACCCGUGGACCUCCACGUUGAUGCCCAACCUCCUAAACUCCCCGACCAAGCACUGCACCACCGUAACCAUCGCCGGAGAUCCCCGUUCACGGCCACCGCCUCGGAUCGCCAAUAAAAAGAGGCCCCGAGCUCGUUCUCGAGCACUCACCACCACUGCACCCCACCAGAACCCCGCCAAGCCACUAGGAGGACCUCGAGGAGGUCUCCUCCCCCAACUCCGGCCGCCCCGAUCCGCCUCGGCCACCAGCUCGAUCCACUCCGGUGAGGCCAUCCCCGCUGCCCAAACCUCGUCAGUAGUCUGCUUGAGCACCUAGUGAUCUAACCCAGGCUUCAAUUUGACCUCCGCAGCCCUCCCCGACGAGAUCCAACUCCACCCGAGCCGCCGUCCGCCGGAGCAAGGACCGUCGUCGACGUGGUGCUUGCCGACGACCACCACCCACCGACGCGGAAGGACACACUGAGCAUGUAUGUACUCUCUGAUCCUCCUAACUCGUCGUGGAUCGCCGUCGGUGACCACCGCAGCUCUCGGGCGCCGACGAGCUCUGUUUCUCCCCCCGUUUGAAAUUUCAAACCUGACGGGUGGGACCCCUCGUCAGUAUUUUCUUUUUUUCGAACCAUUUUCUGAAAACGCCUUCGGGCAGAAUACGUUUCCCUUUGCAGUUGACGGCUUUUUAGCCGACGCAUUUUCUGUUUUUAUAAGUUGGCCCCUGGAAACUUUCUGUUUCAUUACAGAUGAGUCCCUGGAUUAAAACCUUUAUAACUUUUAAACAGAAACUGAUUUUUGAUUGAUUCUUUUUCUGUCAUCUUUAUUUUUCUGUCUAGUUUUUUUGUCAUAUUUAUUUGAAAAAUAUUUGGAAAAUUUUUUUGUGCACUCUCGGUAUUUACGUUAGUACGUAUUUUCUUAUAACGUAGAUACCGGAGGAGGUGACGAAACCGCGAACUUUGCCAAGCUAGACUCUGACUACUCCGAACCAGGCAAGCAUGUUUGAACUUUUGAUAUGAUGAGUGUCUUGGGCAUGUUUGCAUUAAGUAGUUUCAUGGGAUGUUUAUGAGCAUCUCGAUGAAUGUUAUAUUACAUGCAAAGUUGAGGCAAGUGAGUUUCGAAACUCCGUAAGUUGUUGGAUAUGAGUUUGCAUGGCCAUGUGAUGACAUGAGAAUGGGUAAGAUGGCAGUGUUGUAGCGUGCCAGUCUUAUGCCAGACUAUUUGACUCCAGUGUCAACAUGAAUCAGUCCAGUUUCCAUCCGUUUUCCCUUCCUGUACUACCACAUGUUUUCCGCAAGGGAUAUGGCUUAGUAAGUUGCAAACCGCUUUCCUGGUACACACCAAAUCGAGAGGCCGUGAUGAGGGUUCCAUGGCCCUGGAUUAAAGCCAGUCAUCCGGUCAGGGGGCAUGGGUGUUUCCGGUUGGGACUGAGAGGGGGCACCCCUUAGAGCGCGCGUAUAUAAAUUUCAUCCCAUGCUAUUCGAGAUUGUGAUCUCCCCGUCUCAAAGUUUUUCUUGAACGCUGUCUAGGGUGAUUCCUGGCAUCGUUAGGUGGGAUGGGUGUGUACUGGUUAGAUGUGUUUCUACCGAAAUACCGUAAACGGAACUAGUCCUUCGUGACUACGGAAAUCCGUUGGCUAUGGGUAAUCUAGUACAAACUCUGCAGAGUCAAAAAUCCUUUGAAUCAUCUUAUCCAUGCCCAAGUACUGUGUUCAACUUAUCUUGUCAAGUGUCAGUCUCAGUGACAAAAACUCUGCUGAACCACAUGAGUGUUAAGCCUGGUUAAAUGUUUAUUCCUGUGGAUGGACUAACUCGUUUAUUAUUAUGUGUUGAAUAUUUCUUAUGAGUAUAUAUCUUUGUGAAUUAUCAGAUAUGAAUAAUGAAAUAUAAGCCCUUUCUGCGAUGUCGCUCAGACGUCCGACUGUGGCACGCUUGCUAUUUACUUUCGAUAUAAGCCCUUUCUGCGAUGUCGCUCAUACGUCCGAAUGUGGCACGCAUGUUAUUUACUUUCAAUAUAAGCCCUUUCUGCGAUGUCACUCAGACGUCCGACUGUGGCACGCUUGUUAUUUACUNNNNNNNNNNNNNNNNNNNNNNNNNNNNNNNNNNNNNNNNGUAUUAUAUCUUUGUGAAUUUAUCAGAUAUGAAUAAUGAAAUUUAAGCCCUUUCUGCGAUGUUGCUCAGACAUCCCACUGUGGCACGCAUGUUAUUUACUUUCAAUAUAAGCCCUUUCUGCGAUGUCACUCAGACGUCCGACUGUGGCACGCUUGUUAUUUACUUUCGAUAUAAGCCCUUUCUGCGAUGUCGCUCAGACGUCCGACUAUGGCACACAUGUUAUUUACUUUCAAUAUAAGCCCUUUCUGCGAUGUCGCUCCAACGUCCAACUGGCACGCAUGUCAUUUACUUUUCANNNNNNNNNNNNNNNNNNNNNNNNNNNNNNNNNNNNNNNNNNNNNNNNNNNNNNNNNNNNNNNNNNNNNNNNNNNNNNNNNNNNNNNNNNNNNNNNNNNNNNNNNNNNNNNNNNNNNNNNNNNNNNNNNNNNNNNNNNNNNNNNNNNNNNNNNNNNNNNNNNNNNNNNNUAUAAGCCCUUUCUGCGAUGUCGCUCAGACGUCCGACUGUGGCAUGCUUGUUAUUUACUUUCGAUAUAAGCCCUUUCUGCGAUGUCGCUCAGACGUCCGACUAUGGCACGUUUGUUAUUUACUUUCGAUAUAAGCCCUUUCUGCGAUGUCGCUUAGACAUCCGACUGUGGCACGCUUGUUAUUUACUUUCGAUAUAACCCCUUUCUGUGGUGUCGCUCCGACGUCCGACUGUGGCACGCAUGUCAUUUACUUUUCAAUAUAAGCCCUUUAUGUGGUGUCGCUUAGACGCCCGACUACGGCAUGAUUAUUUAUUCGUUUACCCUUCGAGGCGUCGCUCCAGACACCUGAUCGAUUUUUAGUUAUUUUGUUGGGAUUUCGGGAAGACUACCGUCCGACUCCCUUUUUACUUGUCAUGUUGUGCCAAUAUUUAUUAUUUGAAUGUGCAUUGCUAUUUGUCCAUGACGCAUUCAUGCAUGCAUUUGUUAUAUCUCAUGUCCGAACUGUCUUGCGAGUACUUUCAAAUUACUCACCUGGCUUGUUGAUUUGGCCAGAUGUUGACGAAGGCGAUCUCAUGGAUGAAGAGUUCGAUAGCGAGUCCGACGCCUAGAGGAGUCCCAGUCAGUCUCGUGCGAUCUUGGAUUUGGUCACUGUAUUAUAUCCAUUUCCGCUACCCGAAUAAAUUCAUCGAGCCUCACCUCGACGCUCGAUGAGCUGCCAGUUUAGGUGUCAUGUUAUCCACUCCACUGUGACAUUUCCACCACCACUUCUAUUUCGAGUCAGUAGUAUGCCACCCCACCCCUGUAUCAUAACCGCCGUUAUGUACAAUAUUGGCGUGUUUGUAAUAAAUUGUUGAGCAGCCUCAGCUCAACCCUGUAAUAUAUUUAAUGCUACUGGCCUACUGUAUCAAGUAUUUGUCUACUAGUAAGGAGAAUUCUUCCUGUACUGGAAUCAAAAGAUUGAUUUCUCAAUAAGUAUUUUAUUGAAAAACUGGUCGUGACAAACUUGGUACCAGAGCCAGGCUGACUGUAGGAAGCCACUAGGUGCGAUCACUAAUCGGUUAUUAGCAUAAUAGAGUUAAUUCAUAUUUUUGCAAAUGUAGUCAUUUUCUGACAAUCAGCAUAAAUUUAUGAUCUGACCAUUCAGAAUUUUUGCCUACUUUUGUAGAUGGCUGGCAACGACUGUGAGUCACAGGUGUUCGCCAACGUGCCUGAGGGGUUCAUCAAGCUCCUCUCCUUCAUCGUCCAGGUCGCGAUGGGGCCAUCAGUGCGCCCAGUCUUCACACUCUACCAGCACAAGAUCAACGACAGUCUGACCAUGCACCAGGCCGCAGUGCAAUUCAAGGGAGGGCGUGUUGAGGUACGCCGCUUCCGGUUCUUGGGGAGAGCCAUGCCUACGGAGAAGCAUGCUAUGCAGAUGGCUGCCCGUGAGGCGAUAGCUCGUCUCUAGGAUGUUCUUCCUUCGAUGAAGACUCGUCGUUACCGCUACCUUCCAUGCCACGUGCCAUACACCUGUCACUAUGCAUUCGCUUGCCCUAGAGGAGAGCGAGACGAGGCUAUCGAGAUGCUUGUCGAGUACCUCCGGGCUCUAGAGGCAGCCUUCGACAACCUGGUGGACGACCUUGUGGCUGCCCGCAUGGACUCAGUCCAUGGCUGUGCCGCCAACAGGAGGGAGCUCCUGCACACCACACCACCACUGACUUUUGUCUCGUCCUCGGCAUCUUAUUCACCUACCAUUCUCGCCACUGCUCAUCACCUGCUACCACUGAGGAGUUCAACCAAGUCAUUGCGCCCACUUCAGUCCGCACUGCACCACCCAUUGCGCCCACUCCUGUUCGUGUUGCUCCGCCUAUGGCGCCUGCUCCAUCUACUCAGCGCAACACUUCACGUUUGGAGCCUAUUAGCGAGGAGGAGGUUGAGUCCCCAGCCUCACUGCGCCUCACCCUCGGCAGGCCAAGGGAGAUUCUUACCAUCUCCGAUUGAGUACGCUUAGCCGCCAUGCGAUGUACCGACUUGUACGAUAUGUUUAUAUGUACAUAGGUUGUGAGCAGUAGCUUGUUUGCGCAUCAUGUAGGAACUGGGAGAAGUGCACUAGCCUAAAUAACAUGUCAGGAAUAUGUACGCAUAUCCUGAAUGAUGUAUUGUAUAAUUACUGCUUGCGUGUAAGAUAUGUAAUGAGGAGUCCUUCUCCGUGCGCAAUCAAUUAUUAUCUUGAAAAAUCCUGGAGCAUUUAAAAUUUCCCGUCUUUAUGAAUUUAUUGAUUUUUGUGACUCAAUUCCCUUUCUUAUGAGUUUUACAAAAUAUAUCCCCAGAGUGAAAAAUGCCUCGUCCUUGGACGCGCUCCAUGGCAAAUCCGCUAGAGGAAAAUUAUGGCACCCAGACUAGCAACAAUUUCACGCAGGGAUAGUCGAGUCAGCAGGGCAGUGAGACGGCGUUUUCCCAAGUAUGCCGCCUAUAUGAACAGAGUCAGCAACAACAUCGGGAAAUGAUGAACCAAGUCAUCAAUAUGGGGAAUCACCAUGGACAGUAUCCACAACAAUCCAAGUUGUCUGAGCUACAAAAGACGCGUCCCCCAACAUUUUCUCAUACUGACAAACCUCUCGAGGCCGACGACUGGCUUUGAGACAUGGAAAGAAAAUUAAUUAUUGCACAGUGUUCAGACCGUGAGAAAGUACUAUAUGCACCGCACUAUCUCACUGGAGCAGCUACAUCAUGGUGGGAAAAUUUCCUACACAUGCACCCCAAUGAGAAUGAUAUAACCUGGGAGGAGUUCAAAGAAGGUUUUCGUGGAGCGCACAUUCCUAAAAGUGUUAUGAAGAUCAAGAAGAGAGAGUUUGAUGACCUCAAACAAAGGACCAUGACGGUGUCAGAAUACAACAGUCAGUUUACUAUGUUGUCUCGCUACGCCAACGAAGAGCGUAUGACUGAAAGCAAGAAGAUGGAAAAAUUCCUGGACGGUCUGGCACCCACGCUUAAAUGCCAGCUGGUUGUGCACACCUUACCAGAUUUCAAAAUGCUGGAGGAUAAGGCCAUUACCUUGGAAAAUGAGAGACGCAGCUUGGAGGAUUUCCGCAAGCGCAAAAGGGACCAGACUACUCUUGCUCGCAACCACUGAAGCAAGACGGAUUUUCAGAAAGGUGGGACACACAAACCCACGACAAACGUCUCACACCCAAUCAAGAAUUUCCAUGCAAGGGACAAGGAGUUCACAUAUCGCCCAGGCGUUACUUGCUACGCUUGUGGAGAGGAAGGGCACUAUGCCAAGCAGUGCCCCAAGCCAAGGAACUCGACCCCAAAGCCGAACAACGGUGGCAAUAAUUCAGCGCCCAAGUGAAACAAUUUCAACCCCAAUAACAACCACAGGAAGGGUCAUCUGAACCACGUGACCAAAGAGGAAGCACAAAACACCCCGGAUAUCGUACUCGGUACGUUCCCUGUCAACACAAUACCUGCCACGGUUUUGUUUGAUUCUGGAGCUUCUCACUCAUUCAUUUCGAAGAAUUUUGCUUUGCAAAAUAAUUUUUCGAUGCUUCCCUUGGAAAAAUCCAUGAUCAUCAAGUCCCCUGGGAUUAAGCAAGUUACUCAGAGUUACUGCCAAGGUGUGGUUAUUGAGUUUGAAGGAUUGAAGUUUCACGCCAACCUUAUUGUAUUGGAAAAUAAAGGACUGGAUGCCAUCUUAGGGAUGGAUUGGUUAACCACCAACAAAGGUUUUAUUGACUGCUUCAACCGGACCGUAAUUCUCACCCACCACCACGGGAAGACAAUAAAAGUUUCAGCCAAAGAGAGAAAAAUAUCUCGGCAACCGAGAUUGAACAAGGUGGACGUUUCUGAAUUAAGCAAAGUUCCAGUAGUGUGUGAAUUUCCAGACGUAUUUCCCGAAGAACUACCAGGCAUGCCACCAGACCGAGAGAUAGAAUUCAGCAUUGAGCUAGCACCCGAAACCGCCCCCAUAUACAAGCAACCAUACAGAAUGGCACCAUCCGAGUUGGUAGAAUUGAAGAAGCAAAUAAAAGAAUUACUGGACAAAGGAUAUAUACGAGCCAGCUCCUCACCUUCGGGUUCACCAAUUUUAUUUGCCAAGAAGAAGGAUGGGACACUGAGAUUGUGUAUAGACUACCGAGCACUUAACAUGCUCACAGUCAAGAACAAAUACCCUAUGCCACGGAUAAAUGAUUUAUUUGAUCAGCUCGCUCAGGCCAAGGUCUUCUCAAAAAUUAACUUAAGGUCGGGAUACCAUCAAUUAAAAGUACGAACAGAAGAUAUCCCCAAGACAGCCUUCACCUCCAGAUACGGACUGUAUGAGUUCACAUUAAUGCCAUUUGGACUAACAAACGCCCCCGCAUAUUUUGUUCACCUCAUGAACAAAGUAUUUAUGAAGUUUAUGGACAAGUUUGUUGUGGUAUUCAUCGACGAUAUUCUGAUAUACUCCAAGACACCAGAAGAGCACGCUGAACAUCUCAGAAUUGUACUAGGAGAACUCAGGAAACAUCAAUUGUACGCCAAGUUCAGCAAGUGUGAAUUUUGGCUAAGACAGGUAGGUUUUCUGGGCCACGUACUGACCCAAGAAGGUAUUGCCGAAGACCCGGAAAAAGUCAAGGCCGUGCUUGGCUGGAAACCACCAGCCAGCGUAACGGACGUACGAAGUUUCUUGGGAAUGGCAGGAUACUACCGAAGAUUUAUUGAAGGAUUCUCCACCAUAGCAAAUCUAAUGACGCAGUUACUCAAGAAAGACAAGAAGUUUGAAUGGACGGAAGCUUGCGAGAAAAGUUUCCAAGAACUAAAAAGGAAAUUAACGACAACACCAGUAUUAAUUGUGCCAGACAUACACAAGAAUUUUGAGGUGUAUUGUGACGCAUCCCGGAAGGGCCUCGGAUGUGUAUUGAUGCAAGAAGGCAAGGUAGUCGCGUAUGUUUCCAGACAACUUCACAAGCAUGAAGAAAAUUAUCCUACUCAUGACCUGGAGUUGGCAGCAGUCAUUCAUGCACUCAAGGAAUGGAGACACUUUUUACUUGGAAAUCGUUGUGAAAUAUACACAGACCAUAAAAGCCUCAAGUAUAUUUUCACACAACCGGAACUCAAUUUACGGCAACGAUGCUGGUUGGAAUUAGUGAAGGAUUAUGAUGUUGGAAUCCACUACCAUCCAGGAAAAGCAAAUGUAGUGGCGGAUGCUCUAAGUCGGAAUCCUAGCCCGAACAACGACAACCUACCAAACCUGAGACCUGAAUUUCGGCAGGAGUUUGCUAAACUCAACUUGAUGGUGGUCAUCGAAGGCAGUGUGUCGAAUUUAGAAAUAUAGCCUACCCUGAUAGAAAAGAUUAAAGAGGCUCAGCAUGGGCAUCCCAGCAUUGAAGGCAUAAAACGGAAAGUGAGUUUGGGCAAGGCCUCAGAAUUCAUUAUCGACGAGCAGGGGAUAUUGUUGUAUGGAGAUAGACUUUGCGUACCAAAUAUCGAGGACCUUAAACAGCAAAUCUUAGCUGAAGGCCACACCACUCCGUAUUCAAUCCAUCCUGGAGGAACAAAAAUGUACAAGGAUCUUCAGGAAAAAUUUUGGUGGCACGGUAUAAAAAGGGACAUAGCCAUGUUCAUUGCGUGUUGUGACUCAUGUCAACGCAUCAAGGCAGAGCACCAGAAACCGGCCGGACUAUUACAACCAAAUAAGAUACCCGAGUGGAAAUGGGACGAGAUUGGAAUGGAUUUUAUUGUUGGGCUACCUCGGUCACGACACGGGAAUGAUGCCAUAUGGGUCAUCACAGAUAGACUGACUAAGGUGGCACACUUCAUCCCCGUGAAGACAACCCACACCACUCAGAAGCUUGCCAGGCUUUAUCUUUCCCGUAUCGUCUGCUUACAUGGAGUUCCAAAGACUAUAAUAUCGGAUAGAGGCACUCAAUUCGUCUCCCGAUUUUGGGAUCAAUUACAACAAGCUCUGGGAACUCAACUGGCGAUUAGUACCGCAUACCACCCCCAGACUGAUGGACAAACUGAACGCAUAAACCAAAUUCUAGAAGACAUGCUGAGAGCAUGUGUCCUCACCUAUGGAACCAGUUGGGAAGAAAGCUUGCCAUACACAUAGUUCGCAUACAACAACAGUUACCAAGCCAGUCUUCAAAUGGCACCCUUCGAAGCGUUGUACGGGCGGAGAUGUCGUACCCCACUAAAUUGGCCAGAGACCGGAGACAGCCGUAUCUUCAGCCAGACAUGCUGAAAGAAGUCGAGGAAAAGGUCAAGCUAAUCAGGGACCGACUCAAGACAGCUCAAAGCCGACAGAAGAGUUAUUACGAUCAGAAACAUCGGGGAGUCAAUUUCGAACCCGAUGAGUUUGUGUACCUACGAGCAUCUCCUAUGAGGGGCCUGCAACAAUUCAAGAUUAAGGGAGAGCUAGCACCAAGAUUCAUCGGACCAUUCUGUAUAGUGGCACGAAGAUGCACGGUAGCCUACCAGCUAGACUUACCCGAAGAAUUAUCCGAUGUCCACGACGUGUUCCACAUCUCGCAGUUGAGGAAGUGCGUGAGCAACCCAGAGAAGCAAGUAUCCCAUGAAAACAUUGACGUGCAACCAGACCUCACCUAUCGGGAACAUCCAAUAAAAAUAUUAGAGGAGUCUGAAAGGAGGACCCGACAGAAAACAAUCAAGUUUUUUAGAGUUCAGUGGAGCAAUCACACCGAGAGUGAAGCAACUUGGGAAAGAGAGGAUUUUUUCGGACAAAGCACCCACACUUAUUUGAGGCUCAGCUGAAAUCUCGGGGACAAGAUUUUUCCUAACGGGGUAGGUGUUGUGACACUCCAAAUUUUUUUAUUUAGUUUUCAACAAAAACUUUGUUGGAUUUUUAAGAAGGUCAUUUAAAUCCUUCCAAAAACCUCUCUCUCAAAACGUUUCCCCAUGGCAAGGAUUUUAUUUUUGUAUCUUCUUCAACCCUGGUGUUUGGUUAUUAAAAACCUUUCUUCUGAUUUUUCCCAUCUCAAAUAUAUUUUUGGAGUUUAUUUUCUUUUAAAAGAAACCCUAUGGGUUUUGGGGCUUCUUUUGUUUUGAAACCACCCAUGCUUUUACCAUGCCUCAUGUGGUAAAUCCCCCCAAAACCCCUCCCUCCACUUUGGGGCAAUCCAAACUUUCUGUUCCAACAAGUCCAACCCAAUUUUGGAUUUUAUUUCAUUUAUUUUACUCCCCAAAACAAUUCUGUCAAUUAUUUUAAGCCUAGAUGAUUUACAAAGGAAGUACCUGACUUCCUGUGAGUUUUGAUCUCAAACCAACCCCUCUGGAUAGUCCUUAGCACCCCCAACCUAGAUCCAUCAAGAUCCACUCUUCCUCUUUUCAAAAUUUUCAAGUUUCCACCUCUGCAAGUUUGGACCAGAUUCAUCAUUUUUGCUGAAAUUCAUAUUUUCCUUUCUCGAAAAAUUUCACCAAAAUUUAGGCAGCCCCCAGGUGCUUUGCGAGGCCACCACACCAAAGAUCAGCCCCAGAAAAAUUCUUCUCAUGCUUGAUUCAUUUCAUCAAACACUUGGUCGGCACUGUUUCUGUACACUUUCAGUAAAUUCAGAGUUUCAGAGUGUUGACAGUGUCGUUUUUCGUCAGUGCCUUGUCAUCGAUCACCAGUGCACCCUGGCGCGUUGCGCACUGCCUCUCCUUCUUAACCUGAGGGCCGCACGCUUCCUUGUUCGGGCGCAGAUGUUGGUGGCGGCGAGCCUCGCUGAUGCCGGCAGCCUCUGCGGUGGCAGAGCCACCCGUGGCGGCCAACAAGAGCCAGCGCCAGCUCGCUACGCCGUUCGGCACCGCGCAACGCUCCCUAGCCCUCCGUGUGGCCUCAUCCAUGCCAGCACACACCACAACACCGUCUCUGUGGCCCGGCAAGCACAGGGCACGCCCUCUGCCGCCGACGGGCCCGCGCCACCCCGUUCUGUCAAAACCACCCACGCGCGCCUAAUCCAACCUGGUUUAUCUUCUAAACGGAACCCGUGGACCUCCACGUUGAUGCCCAACCUCCUAAACUCCCAGACCAAGCACUGCGCCACCGUAACCAUCGCCUGAGAUCCCCGUUCACGGCCACCACCUCGGAUCGCCUAUAAAAAGAGGUCCCGAGCUCGUUCUCGAGCACUCACCACCGCUGCACCCCACCAGAACCCCGCCAAGCCACUAGGAGGACCUCGAGGAGGUCUCCUCCCCCAACUUUGGCCGCCCUGAUCCGCCUCGGCCACCAGCUCGAUCCACUCCGGUGAGGCCAUCCCCGCCGCCCAAACCUCGUCAGUAGUCUAUUCGAGCACCCAGUGAUCUAACCCAGGCUUCAAUUUGACCUUUGCAGCCCUCCCCGACGAGAUCCAACUCCACCCGAGCCGCCGUCCGCCGGAGCAAGGACCGCCAUCGACGUGGUGCUCGCCGAUGACCACCACCACCACCCACCGACGCGGAAGGACACACUGAGCACGUAUGUACUCUCCGAUCCUCCUAACUCGUCGUGGAUCACCGCCGGCGACCACCGCAGCUCUCGGGCGCCGACGAGCUCUGUUUCUCCCCCCGUUUGAAAUUUCAAACCUGACGGGUGGGACCCCUCGUCAGUAUUUUCUUUUUUUCGAACCGUUUUCUGAAAAUGCCUUUGGGCAGAAUACGUUUCCCUUUGCAGUUGACGGCUUUUUAGCCGAAGCAUUUUCUGUUUUUAUAAGUUGGCCCCUGGAAACUUUCUGUUUCAUUACAGAUGAGUUCCUCGAUUAAAAUCUUUAUAACUUUUAAACAGAAACUAAUUUUUGAUUGAUUCUUUUUCUGUCAUCUUUAUUUUUCUAUCUAGUUUUUUUGUCAUAUUUAUAUGAAAAAUAUUUGGAACAUUUUUUUGUGCACUCUUGAUAUUUACGUUAGUACAUAUUUUCUUAUAACAUAGAUACCGGAGGAGGUGACGGAACCGCGAACUUCGCCAAGCUAGACUCCGACUACUCUGAACCAGGCAAGCAUGUUUGAACUUUUGAUAUGAUGAGUGUCUUGGGCAUGUUUGCAUUAAGUAGUUUCAUGGCAUGUUUAUGAGCAUCUCGAUGAAUGUUAUAUUACAUGCAAAGUUGAGGCAAGUGAGUUUCGAAAAUCCAUAAGUUGUUGGAUAUGAGUUUGCAUGGCCAUGUGAUGACAUGAGAAUUGGUAAGAUGGCAGUGUUGUAGCAUGCCAGUCUUAUGCCAGACUAUUUGACUCCAGGGUCAACAUGAAUCAGUCCAGUUUCCAUCCGUUUUCCCUUCCUGUACUACCACAUGUUUUCCGCAAGGGAUAUGGCUUAGUAAGUUGCAAGCCGCUUUCCUGGUACACACCAAAUCGAGAGGCCGUGAUGAGGGUUCCAUGGCCCUGGAUUAAAGCCAGUCAUCCGGUCAGGGGGCAUGGGUGUUUCCGGUUGGGACCGAGAGGGGGGCACCCCUUAGAGCACGCGUAUAUAAAUUUGAUCCCAUGCUAUUCGAGAUUGUGAUCUCCCCGUCUUAAAGUUUUUAUUGAACGCUGUCUAGUGAUUCCUGGCAUCGUGAGGUGGGAUGGGUGUGUACUGGUUAGAUGUGUUUCUACCGAAAUACCGUAAACGGAACUAGUCCUUCGUGACUACGGAAAUCCGUUGGCUGUGGGUAAUCUAGUACAAACUCUGCAGAGUCAAAAAUCCUUUGAAUCAUCUUAUCCAUGUCCAAGUACUGUGUUCAACUUAUCUUGUCAAGUGUCAAUCUCAGUGACAAAAACUCCGGUGAACCACAUGAGUGUUAAGUCCGGUAAAAUGUUUAUUCCUGUGGAUGGACUAACCCGUUUAUUAUUAUGUGUUCAAUAUUUCUUAUGAGUAUAUAUCUUUGUGAAUUUAUCAGAUAUGAAUAAUGAAAUAUAAGCCCUUUCUGCGAUGUCGCUCAGACGUCCGACUGUGGCACGCUUGUUAUUUACUUUCGAUAUAAGCCCUUUCUGCGAUGUCGCUCAGACGUCCGACUGUGGCAUGCAUGUUAUUUACUUUCAAUAUAAGCCCUUUCUGCGAUGUCGCUCAGACGUCCGACUGUGGCACGCUUGUUAUUUACUUUCGAUAUAAGUCCUUUCUGCGAUGUCGCUCAGACGUCCGACAGUGACACGNNNNNNNNNNNNNNNNNNNNNNNNNNNNNNNNNNNNNNNNNNNNNNNNNNNNNNNNNNNNNNNNNNNNNNNNNNNNNNNNNNNNNNNNNNNNNNNNNNNNNNNNNNNNNNNNNNNNNNNNNNNNNNNNNNNNNNNNNNNNNNNNNNNNNNNNNNNNNNNNNNNNNNNNNNNNNNNNNNNNNNNNNNNNNNNNNNNNNNNNNNNNNNNNNNNNNNNNNNNNNNNNNNNNNNNNNNNNNNNNCUUUCUGCGAUGUCGCUCAGACGUCCGACUGUGGCAUGCUUGUUAUUUACUGUCGAUAUAAUCCCUUUCUGCGAUGUCGCUCAGACGUCCGACUAUGGCACGCUUGUUAUUUACUUUCGAUAUAAGCCCUUUCUGCGGUGUCGCUCCGACGUCCGACUGUGGCACGCAUGUCAUUUACUUUUAAAUAUCAGCCCUUUAUGUGGUGUCACUUAGAUGCCCAACUGCGGCAUGAUUAUUUAUUCGUUUACCCUUCGAGGCAUCGCUCCAGACACCCGAUCGGUUUUCAGUUAUUUUGUUGGGAUUUCGGGAAGACUACCGUCCGACUCCCUUUUUACUUGUCAUGUUGUGCCAAUAUUUAUUAUUUGAAUGUGCAUUGCUAUUUGUCCAUGACGCAUUCAUGCAUGCAUUUGUUAUAUCUCAUGUCCGAACUGUCAUGCGAGUACUUUCAAAGUACUCACCUGGCUUGUUGAUUUGGCCAGAAGUUGACGAAGGCGAUCUCAUGGAUGAAGAGUUCGAUAGCGAGUCCGACGCCUAGAGGAGUCCCAGUCAGUCUCGUGCGAUCCUGGAUUUGGUCACUGUAUUAUAUCCGCUUCCGCUACCCGAAUAAAUUCAUCGAGCCUCACCUUGACGCUCGAUGUCAGUCUCGUGCGAUCCUGGAUUUGGUCACUGUAUUAUAUCCGCUUCCGCUACCCGAAUAAAUUCAUCGAGCCUCACCUCGACGCUCGAUGAGCUGCCAGUUUAGGAGUCAUGUUAUCCACUCCACUAUGACAUUUCCACCACCACUUCUAUUUUGAGUGAGUAGUAUGCCACCCCACCCCUGUAUCAUAACCGCCCUUAUGUACAAUAUUGGCGUGUUUGUAAUAAAUUGUUGAGCAGCAUCAGCUCAACCAUGUAAUAUAUUUAAUGCUACUGGCCUACUGUAUCAAGUAUUUGUCUACUAGUAAGGAGAAUUCUUCCUGUACUAGAAUCAAAAGAUCGAUUUCUCAAUAAGUAUUUUAUUGAAAAACCGGUCGUGCCAAGGUGUGUACGACCAGCUGGCAUUUAAGCGUUGGUGCCAGACCAUCCAGGAAUUUUUCCAUCUUCUUGCUAUCAGUUAUAUGCUCUUCGUCGGCGUAACGAGACAAUAGUGUAACCUGACUGUUAUACUCAGUUACUGUCAUGGUUCUCUGUUUGAGGUCGUCAAACUCCCUCUUCUUGAUCUUCAUAAUACUUCUGGGAAUGUGCGCCCCACGGAAAUCUCCUUUGAAUUCCUCCCAGGUUAUAUCAUUUUCAUUGGGGUGCAUGUGUAGGAAAUUUUCCCACCAUGAUGCAACCGCUCUAGUGAGAUAGUGCGGUGCAUAUAGUACUUUCUCACGGUCUGAACAUUGUGCAAUGAUUAAUUUCCUUUCUAUGUCUCGAAGCCAAUCAUCGGCCUCAAGAGGUUUGCCAGUAUGAGAAAACGUUGGGGGGCGCAUCUUUUGUAGCUCAGACAAUUUGGAUUGCUGCUGAUACGGUCCGUGCUGAUUUCCCAUAUUGAUGACCUCGUUCAUCAUUUCUUGAUGUUGCUGGCUUUGUUCAUAAAGGCGGCAUACUUGAGAAAAUGCAGCAUCAUUGCCUUGCUGACUUGACUGCCCCUGUGUGAAAUUGUUGCUUGUUUGCAUACCAUAAAUUUCUUCUGGCGGACUUGGCAUGGAACGAGUCCAAGGACGAGGCAUUUUCCACUCUGGGGUAUUUUUUGAAAAAAUUAUGACAAAAGCUGAGUGGAAAAAAUAUAAUUUUGUAAGACGAAAGAUUAAGAACUCCAACAUUUUCAAGAAAAUACUUGAUUGCGCACGGAGAAGGACCGCUCAGUACACAUCUUACACGCAAGCAUAAUUAUACAAUACAUCACUCAGGAUGUGCGUACACAUUCCUGACAUGUUAUUUAGGCUAGUGCACUUCUCCCAGUUCCUACAUGAUGUGCACACAAACUACUUCUCACAACCUAUAUACAUAUAAACAUAUCAUACAAGCUGACACACUGCAUGGCUGUUGGGCGCACUCAGUCGAAGAUGGUGAGCAUUUCCCUCGGCCUGCCAAGGGUAAGGCCUAGUGAUGCUGGAGACUCAACCUCCUCCUCAAUAAUAGGUUCUAGACAUGAAGCACUGAGCUGUGGAGCUGGUGCGGGUGCGGUAGGUGGUGCAGCUCUGACUGGGGUAGGAGCGAUGACUCGGUCAAAUUCUUCAGGAGUAGGCAGGCGGCGAGCAGUGGUGAGGGUGGCAGGUGUGUGGGAUGCCGAGGACGAGAUGUAAGUCAGUGUGGAGCUGUAUGGAGAAGCUCCCUCCUAUUGGCGGAACAGCUAUGCACGACGGCCAUACGAGCAGCCACAAGGUCGUCCACGAGGUUAUCAAAUGUUGCCUCGAGCGCCUUGAGAUAUUCAACCAGCAUUUCAAUAGCCUCAUCCCUUUCUCCUCUAGGGCAAGCGAAUGCAUAGUGACAUGUGUAUGGCACGUGGCAGGCGAGGUAGCGGUAGCGACGAGUCUUCAUUGAAGGAAGAACAUCCCGAAGACGAGCUAUCGCCUCACGGGCAGCCAUCUGCAUAGCAUGCCUCUCCAUAGGCAUGGCUCUUCCCACAAACCGGAAGUGGCGUAACUUAACACGCCCUCCCUUGAAUUGCACCGCGGCCUGGUGCAUGGACAAACUGUCGUUGAUCUUGUGCUGGUAGAGUGUGAACUCCGGACGAGUUGAUGGCCCGAUCGCGAUUUUGACGAUGGAGGUGAGAAGCUUGACGAACCCUCAGGCACGUUGGCGAACACCUGUGACUCACAGUCGUUGCCAGCCAUCUACAAAAGUAGGCAAAAAUUCUGAAUAGUCAGAUCGUAAAUUUACACUGACUGUCAGAAAAUGACUACAUUUGCAAAAUAUUAAAAUAGCACUUAUUACGCUAAUAACCGAUUAGCAAUCGCACCUAGUGGCUUCCUACAGUCAACCUGGCUCUGGUACCAAGUUUGUCACGACCGUUUCCAUCUACAAAAGUAGGCAAAAAUUCUGAAUAGUUAGAUCAUAAAUUUACACUGACUGUCAGAAAAUGACUACAUUUGCAAAAUAUUAAAAUAGCACUUAUUAUGCUAAUAACCGAUUAGCGAUCGCACCUAGUGGCUUCCUACAGUCAGCCUGGCUCUGGUACCAAGUUUGUCACGACCGUUUUUUCAAUAAAAAGCUUAUUGAGAAACCGACUUUUAUAUAGACCAGUAUAGGAAAAUCCUCCUUACUGGUAGACAAAUCCUUGAUACUGAAAUCCAGUAGUACUAAAUAUUAUACAGGGUUGAGCUGAGGUAGCUCAACAAUUUAUUACAAGCACGCCAAUAUUAUACAUAAGGGCGGAUAUGACACAAGGGUGUGCUGGCAUACUACUGACUCGUAAUAAAAGUGCUGGUGGAUAUGUCACAGUGAAGCGGAUGACAUGACUCCUAAUCCUGCAACUCAUCGAGCGUCGAGGUGAGGCUCGAUGAUUUUAUUUGGGUAGCGGAAGCGUAUGUGAUACAAGUGACCAAAUCUAGGAUCGCACGGGACUGACUGGGACUCCUCUAGGCGUCGGACUCGCUAUCGUACUCUUCAUCCAUGAGAUCGCCUUCGUCAACAUCUGGCCAAAUCAACAAGCCAGGUGAGUACUUUCAAUGUACUCGCAAGACAGUUCGGACAUAAGAUAUAACAAAUGUAACAUGAUGCACAUGAGCGGUUAGCAAUGCACACUCAGAUAUAAAAUUUGCACGACAUGUUAUAUAAAUAGGAAGCCAGGCGGUAGUCCUCCCGAAAUCCCAACAAAAUAACUGAGAACCGAUCGGGUGUCUGAAGCGAUGCCUCGAAAGGUAAAAAUAAAUUAACAUGCCACAGUCGGGCGUCUGAGCGACACCACAUAAAGGGCUUAUAUUGAAAUGUAAAUGACAGUGCAUGCCACAGUCGGACGUCUACGCGACAUCUUGGAAAGGGCUUAUAAUGAAAAUAAAUAACAGUGAUGCCACAGUCGGACAUCUACGCGACAUCUCGGAAAGGGCUUAUAAUGAAAAUAAAUAACAGUGAUGCCACAGUCGGACGUUUACGCGACAUCUCGGAAAGGGCUUAUAAUGAAAAUAAAUAACAGUGAUGCCACAGUCGGAUGUCUGAGCGACAUCACAGAAAGGGCUUAUAUUUCAUCAUUCAUAUUCAAUAAAUUCAUGAAGAUAAUUCACUCAAAGGAAAUACUCAGUACAUAAUAAUAAAAGGGUUAGUCCAUCCACAGGAGAAUUAUUUAGCCGGACUUAACACUCAUGUUUGUUCACCGGAGAUUUGUCACUUGAGGCUGACACUGAGACUAACAAAGAUAAGUUGAACAUAGUCCUUGACCAUAGACAAGGUUACUCAGUUUGCACUAUUUAACCACAGCCAACGGAUUUCAGUAGUCACGAAGGACUAGUUCUGUUUACGGUAUUUCGGUAGAAACACAUCUAACCAUUACACACCCAUUCCACCUCAUGAUGCCAGGAAUCACCCUAGGCAACGUUCAAGAAAAACUUUGAGACGGGGAGGCCACAACCUCGAAUAGCAUGGGAUCAAAUUUAUAUUCGCGCGCUCUAAGGGGUGCCCCCUUCUCGGUCCCAACCGGAAACACCCAUGCCCCCUAACCGGAUGACUGGCUUUUAAUCCAGGGCCAUGGAACCCUCAUCACGGCCUCUCUAUUUGGUGUGUAUGAGGCAAGAGGUUUGCAACUUACUAAACCAUAUUCUUUGCAGAAAACAUGUGGUAGCACAAAAAGAAAUGGAUGGUAACGUGACUUGAUCCACGUUGACACUGGAGUUAAAUGGUUUGGCAUAAGACUGGCAUGCUUCAACACUGCCAUCUUACCACCUCUCAUGUCACCACCUGAUCACGUAAACUCACAUCAAAUAACAUAUGGAGUUUUGAAGCUAACUUGCAUUAGCUUUGCAUGCAAUAUAACACUUACUGCAAUGCAUAUAAACAUGCCAUAAACUAACUACUCAUUGCAAACAUGCAAAACGCUCAUCAUAUCAAAGGUUCAAACAUGCUUGCCUGGUUCGAAGUAGUCGGAGUCUAGCUCGGUGAAGUUCGCGGUUCCGUCACCUCCUCCGGUAUCUACGGUAUAAAGAAAAUACGCACUAACGUAAAUACCGUGUGUGCACAAAAAGUGUUCCAGAUAUUUUUCAAAUAAAUCAAAUAAGAAAACUAGACAGAAAAAUAAAGAUGACAGAAAAAGAAUCAAUCAAAAAUCAUUUUCGGUUUAGGAGUUAUUAAAGUUUUGGCCCAGGGACUUGUCUGUAAUGAAACAGAAAGUUUCCAGGGGCUAGCUUAUAAAAACAGAAAACGAUUCGAUUAAAACCCGCCAACUCCAAAGGAAAAACGUAUCCUGCCCGAAGGCGUUUCCAGAAAAUGGUUCGAAUAUAAAAGAGAGGCUGACGAGGGGGUCCCACACAUCAGGUUUAAAAGUUCGAGAGAGAAAACAGAGUGCGUUAGUGCCCGAAGCUUGCGAUGGUCGCCGGUGACGAUCCACGGUGAGUUAGGAGGAGCGGAGGGUACCUACGGACUCAGGGUGCUCUUCCACGUCUGUGGGUGGUGGAGUUGGUCGUUGGCGAGCCCCACGUUGACGGCGGCCUUCACUCCGGCGGACGGCGGCUCUGGCGUCGGUGGAUCUCUCCGGGAAGGGCUGCAAGUUUCAAAUUGGGGCGUGGGUUAGUGGAGUGGGUGCACUAGGAUGCCACUGGUACAACAUGAGAGGCGGGGGUGCACGCACUCGAGCUAACCUUGCCGGAGCCCAAAGCGGAUCGGGGCGGCCGGAGUCGGAGGAGAAGGCCCUUUACGUUGGCCUGUAGCUGAACUAGUAUGUUGUAGGUAGACAUUCAUUGGGCUGGUCCAUUUACGUUAGCAUGCUUCGUGUGUGUCCAUUCUGUAUGCUUCUUUUUUAAUCCCAUGUAGGUUUAUUUACUCUUUUAGGUUCCUACUUUAGUGACCAUGGAUCUUUAGGUUUUUUCAAUUUAAUGGAAUUGGGUCCUACAUGAUUUUUUUGCCUAUUUUAAUGUAUGUAUUUGCCUAACAUAGUUUACAAAAUCUUUAGUUAGAGGUAACCCAUCUUUGGUUACAUAUCUCACAAUCAGAUAAGAACAUUGUGCCAGAUCAGCUAACUUUCAGAUGUUGCCUGUAACCAAAGAUUGGUUACCUGUGGAUGGAUAGAUUCAUUUGAUUGGGUGACCUGAAUUUAUGAUGCCCUUUUUAUACUACAGAAGAUGCACCAGGCAUCUGUUUUUUGUCAUGAAAAAUGCAUAGGACCAUUUCCCUUGUAUUGUUACCCACUUUGGAAGAGUAACCUGUUGUUGUGUGUCGAGUGAUGGCGAUGAAUCAGCUAACUUAUGUAAAGUACAUACAAAGAUGUACUAUAUAUGUGCAAAGUAUCGAUUCAGUACACCGAAUCCAAAUGCCAAGCAAGCACAAAGAUGUCAAAAGCAGUUAAAAUAAUCAUAAACAAUCUGGAAACAUAUAGCUUUGAAUAGACAUUUAUUAUUUUUCUGAAGAGUUCAGUCCAUGCAUGUUUUUUGCCAUCUAAUUUUAUGUUCUGGGCUUAAAUCAGAUAGAGGCUUUAAGAAUAUCCGGUUUAAAUAAUGACAGUCUUAAUUUGGAUAAAUAAAAUAACAAGAGCUUCAGACUAAUGUGGAAAAUUUGGUCAAAAUAUAAAAUUUUGGUUCCUCUCAGUUUAGUUGGUGGCCUAUAUGAAUUCCAUUUGGCCCACAAUAUUUUUGUACAAUUAUUGAUUUGCUAGGGUAAAUUCUAAACUUAAUUUUGUUAGCUUCUAUCAGGUGUUCUUUCUUAUAAUAUUUUUUAUAUGUCGCAAGCUUACUCUCUUGAAGAGAGUUACUCCAUGUUUAUGAAGAAAAGAUUUGGGUUCAGAGCACCUUCGGUCAUAAGAAUUUGUUUUCUAAUUCUUGUUGGUCAGUCACAAAGCAUUAAUUUUUGUUUGCUUUACAAUUUUUUCAGGAGCAAUGGGAAAUGAUGAGCUCCUGCUUCUUUUUAUGUCGGUUUAGGAGUGUAGGAAGCGGUUCCUCGCCGGUUGGACGUCGUUCAACCGCAACUCUGGCACCCACUGAGUACUUCCUCGGCUACAACCUCCUUCGGUGAGCUGCAUCUUCCUCCUGCUCCUCUGCUUCAGCUACUGUAUGGGACAUAGCCAGGGCUAUGAUGAUCGGUUAUGGCUGAUAUAAGCAUGCUCUCGAGCAAUCGAGGCAUGUGUGGGUAUUAAGUUGGAUCCCCCUUCGUUUCUUUGAGCCGUUUUGAUCAUGUUCUUAUUUUAGUGGCUUUGUCCUUGGAUGGUCAUUUCUGAUGAGUGAUAACCAGGGCAGUUUCACCCUUUUAAGAACAUAUCCGUCGUGAAAUAAGUCACAAAGCAUUAAUUUUUGUUUGCUUUACAAUUUUUCCAGAAGUAAUGGGAAAUGAUGAGCUCCUGCUUCUUUUUAUGUCGGUUUAGGAGUGUAGGAAGCGGUUCCUCGCCGGUUGGACAUCGUUCAACCGCAACUGUGGCACCCACUGAGUACUUCCUCGGCUACAACCUCCUUCGGUGAGGUGCAUCUUCCUCCUGCUCCUCUGCAUCGGCUACUGUAUGGGACAUAGCCAGGGCUAUGAUGAUCGGUUAUGGCUGAUAUAAGCAUGCUCUCGAGCAAUCAAGGCACGUGUGGGUAUUAAGUUGGAUCCCCCUUCGUUUCUUUGAGCCAUUUUGAUCAUGUUCUUAUUUUAGUGGUUCUGUCCUUGGAUGGUCAUUUUUGAUGAGUGAUAACCAGGGUAGUUUCACCCUUUUAAGAACAUAUCCAUCAAGAAAUAAGGGAGACGGUCACUCCCAGGCGCUCUCAGCGAUUCGGCAUUCCUGGCCGUUGGAUCUUUUGCUUGAUGUGAUUUUGACCGUCAGAUCUCGCCUCAGGAUGACACAGCCGUCGGAUCGACCCGGUGUACCUGUAGCAAUGAAUAGUUACUUCCUCCACAUGCUGUCGCUUACUUCGCCUGUUCGACCUGGACUCACUGACCUGUGGGGCCGCUCGCAGGUCGGCCGCGCUCAUCAACGACCAUGUGAGUGGGCAUGGCAUGUGCGUCCUGUCACGUGCCCCACCGGUCGGAGGCCAUUCUUGCUAGGGCAAUGAUGAUUAACCAUGGCUGAAAUAAAUGUGCCUUUGAGCAAUCGAGACACCUAUGGGUAUCAAGUUGGAUCCUCCCUCUUGUCUCUAGAAUCCUUUUUGAUCUUGUGAUACUUAUUGUUCUGUCCUUGGAUGGUCAUUCUUGUUGAGUGAUAAACAGGGCAGCUCCACACUAUAAACAGAUUGAUCUGGUGAUAAGAGAUGACGGGGGUGGGUCACAUGAUAGAGAAAAGGUGAAUCUAAGCCCAUCAUGUAUUGAACCCCGAAUCCUUUUUAUUUGUAGCUAAAGGUGUUGCUUAUUUGUGCCCCCAUCGGUCGGAAGCCAUUCUUGCUAGGGCGAUGAUGAUUAGUUGUGGCUGAAAUAAGUGUGCCUUUGAGCAAUCGAGGCACCUGUGGGUAUCAAGUUGGAUCCUCCCUCUUGUCUCUAGAAUCAUUUUUGAUCCUGUGAUACUUAUUGUUAUGUCCUUGGAUGGUCGUUCUUGUUGAAUGAUAACCAGGGCAGCUCCACUGGAUAAACAGAUUGAUCUGGUGAAAGAGAUGAUGGGGGUAGAUUAUAUGAUCGAGGAAAGGCAAAUCUGAGCCCACUAUGCAUUGAACCCUGAACCCUUUUUAUUUGUAUUUAAAGGUGUUUCUUAUUUAUGCUCCAGUGUUUAUAGCCGUCUUAUGUAAAGAAAUCUCCCUUGUAUUUCCUCUUAUGGACGGCCCCCUCGCUAGCUCCUUGAUGUUUGUCCUACCCCAGUAAGAUCUGUGACAUGUUCAUGGCGUUGAUGUGGAGAAGCUCAACGUCAAUGGAAUAUCCCUCUCCAUUUUGACAUCAGACAAGGUGGUAUUAAUCUUUUAUGUGUAAGUAUCUACUGCACAUACUGUCUUUCCUAGGUGUUCUUCUUUUCCAUCUGUACUACCUCACCUACUGUCAAAUGUUUGUGCUAGGUUGCUGACUUUUCUGGUGUGGAGUUUGCUUAUUUUGGGUUCUUCGUUGUGUUGGUAGGAUUUUUGCCGUGAGUUGUUCCUUUGGCACUAUCUGUAGGAAGCAGAGCCAAGCGAGGUUCUUAUAUCUGAGCAUAUUAAUCUCAUGCAUUAGUUUGUAAGCUAUGGGGUUGCAGGCUUAAACUCAAAAUUGUCUUGCAAUGUAUUAGACUGUACCCUGGAACCUAGGCACAACCAUCUAUAUACAUUGUUCUAUCUUGCAGAUUGGGAUCCCUGUCAGUUGCUUCCCCUUUUUUGUUUCCAAUUAUGUCAUCUUUGCAAAUUUAUGUUGUGCAUGUACACACGUUUUUUGGAUAACUGCAUGAGAGAAAGCUUACAAGUAGAUGAGUUACAGAUCUUCCAUGAAUCCUAUUGUCCUUGCAGACCUACAACAACAAACUUUCGAUUACGUAUAUGCUUACUGUUUGUUCAGUUGGCAUACUUCAGAUUGCAUUGGUUAGGUUAUAGUCCAUGUGUGUAGGUCUGGAUAGCAUAAGCUUCUGUUGAGAGCACUUUGAUCAGGUGGCACUGCACAUCUCAAAUCACCACAAGUUUGUUCUUCACCUAUACAGUACAGUCACAGUCACCCGCCAAGAACUUGAAAUUGGAACCAGAGAGUAGUAAUUUCUUAGGGAGAUAGCUCAAUGUUGUAUAAAAGGAGAUUUAUGAGAUUUAAGUCCUGAAAAAUUUAAUGGUAUUUUGUCUUUCAGGUUCCUCUAUAUCUGCUGCAAGGCUUGGAUUGCCAUAUAAGGCCGAAUUCAGCACAUAAGAAAGCAGAACAAUUCAUUGAUAGUGUCACGGUUUGAUCCAGCUCGAUGGCGAGCUCCUCUGCCCUCCCUGAGCCCGGUGAUGAUUUGUACGGUUAGUCUUCCCUGCACGGUGGUGGGCGAAGGAGGUGUACGUCUCUGCAAGUUUGUUGUGCCUCCCUCAGGUUCCGUGAUGGCCGACGGCGAGGUGCCCACCGGUGAGCUUUUUUUCCUUGGUUGCCUUUCUAUUAUUGUGAUUCGGUUUGUGAUGCUCUGCUGCUCAUCUAGGUUGAUGGUGGAGCUGUGAUCCAAAGUUGGAGCGUGCCCUUUCGUUGGUGCCGUCAUUCUCUCCUCCACGACCAUCGUUGUCACGAGCCUAAGUAGCUUGGUUGGGUAUCGACGGCGUUGGUGGACCUAAUAGGUCCGUAUCUUUCUCUAAAAAGAAAAGCACAACGAGUUAUCUAUAUUUUGUCUGUAUGUGGUUCUAUACCUUUUUUUGCUAAUUUCUAAGUGAUUUUUAACCCAUUGUGAUACUGAAAACCUGAUAAAGAAUAUAUUUUAUGACUGGAUGUUUGAUGUGGGGCUGGAAGAAUUAUAGUUUUGUUUUGUACAUAAAUCUUCUAUGUAGUCAUGGUACUAAAUGUCCUAACAUAUACCCGUAUGUUCUGUUUAUCUCCUACAAAUAGUGAAAUGGUCUAUAUGUAAAGUAUUUAUGUUUAGUUAUAUUAUGUUGUCGACGAUGCGUGGUUCUGGAACAUGGAGAUUAACAUUGAAGCUUUUGGUAUCUUGAAUUCUUAUGCUUUGUUAUUAACUUGAUGUGAUCUAGUUUUUUCUAUUUGGCAUUGCCACUGACCUGCUUCCAGUGUCGUAUAACUAAACUCUUUUGGCUGAACUGGACGCAGAUUAAUUGUCCUGCCUUGCUUUUGGAACAAAUUAAAUGUAUCUUCUUUUUCAUGAGCCUGCAGAUCAAUUAUUCCAUAGAUACUAAUACACUCAUUAGUUUCAAACAAGUACUGUAAUUUCCAAUGUACCAAAUGAUUUACAGUAUAGUGAAAUCUUACACGCUGGACCAAUUUAAUGUUUCUUCUUUCUCUUAAACCAAAAAAAAUUGUUGUCUUGUUGAAUACGUAUGCUAAACCAUGUUUCCUACUAACGCAUCAUAUCUUUUGAUCAUUACCUUCUUGACCACAUCGUUGGGACAUGCACAGGUUCAUGUGAAGUGGUGCCUAUGAAGAUCAUCGACAAGGCAGUUGAGUGGAGUCACUUAUUAGUAUGAAGUGGCGCUUAUGAAGUUGAUCGACAAGGCAGUUGAGUGAAGCCACUUAUUAGUAUGCUUAGUAGUUCUGGCUUUGUAGUUGUCUCUCCUUUGUUACGCUUGUGGUAUCAAACUUCCAUGUCGAGUGGCUGCGUUUUUGGUGUCGAACUUCGUGUCAGGUGGCUAUCUUUUGUGUUCUUAUGAACGCACUGAAACCAAUUCUACCUUAUAAUCUCAAGCCGACACUGAGCCCAUGCCUUUCUUCUAUAAUAGUUGAAUGUUUCUUCUUCACUUUAUUGUUAUUAUGUAUGAA
rnacentral:lncRNA from 1 species